GGUGAAUAUGUCACGCGUUCCUACACGUGGCAGCAUCUAAUUUAUUCGCUUGUCAUUUCAGUUUCUGUUAGUUACAGUUUCUGUAACGUAGCUAGCUCCGUCAGGUACAGGCAUGUUGUAACUUACGUUUCUCGUAAAAAUCAUAUAAGUUCUAUUUCUACCGCUAGGGUGAGCAUGGGUUGAUUUGGAUUAAAUUUUAAGUUAAUUUAAAUUAAAUUAUAAAAAUUUGGGUGUAAUCUAAAUUAAUUUAAAUAUUUUUAACAUAACUCAUGGGUUGGUUAAAUCAAACUAUAAAAAUUUGGUCCAACUCAAAUUAACUCAAAUAUUUUCAACACAACCCAAAGCAACUCAGUUGGAUUUUAUUAAAAUUAUAAUAAUUAUUAAUUGUUUUUAAACCAACCAUUUUGAGUUUGGUUUGGAUUUUAUUAUCAAAAUAUAUUUUUUAUUUUGAGAAAUUUAAUUUUAUCAAAAUUAUAAUAAUUAUUAAUUGUUAUUACUUAUUAAAUUGAUAAUAACAUAUAAAAAUUAUAAUUCAUAAAAAUUAUAAAUAACAAAUUUUACAAUAACUUAAUCCUUAAAUUAAAGAAUACUAGAAAAUUAAAAUAAAGUUUAAUCACAAAAAUCAUUAUUUAUCAAUAAAUAAGAAAAUUCUAAUAAAAAACUUCUACAAGCACGAUAUCGACAAGUAAAUUCAAAGAAAGAAAGAAAGAAAGAAAAGACUAGUACUACUAAGUAUUAACCCUAUUACAACACAAACUCUAACAAUGUCCAUACAAAUAAAAAAAAAUAAGACAUUCUAACUCAAGUGUCAAAGCAAUCCAUCAUAAUCAUUUCCAUCCGUAGUACUUUAAUCGAGAGAUUCCACGAUUAACUGACAAAAUGUAUGACAAUGAUAAUUUACAUUGAUUAUGACAUAAUAGAGAUGGAUUUGUCAAAGCCAAAUCAUUUGCUGGAAAGGAAUUUAGUUGAAGUAGGAACCAAAAUUCAACUUAGAUGGAUCUAUAAAAUUGGUCAUUCAAUACAUAAGUACUUUAUCAACAGAUUCAACACAUUAUAAAUUUAUGGAUUCAACUAAGUUACAACCAGCUGCAACUUAUUCCUCUCACAUAAACAAUAAUACAGCGGUAGGCUAUAUUAUUUACAAAAAGUACUUAUGUAUUGAAUGACCAAUUUUAUUACCUGCAAAAUUAAUUAAUCUUUCACUCUAUCAUCUAACUAAUGGAAGGCAAUCUUAUUUUAGGUUGUAAUGAUUAGAAACUAGCAGGAAGUGGGGGCGAUGCUCCAUAUUAAUUUGGAUAAAUCCCUUUCUAGUGAAGAAGUUAAAAUUAUAAAAUAGAGAUCAAGAUAGAAAUUUAAAGGCCCCGAUUGUUUUUUACAGACUUAAAAAUGAUAUUGAAAAAUUAAAAGCUAAUUUUAGUAUUUAAAAAUUACUUUAAGAAAAAUCACCCUAUCUUCCUGUAAAUUUUGAAAAGCAUGAAAAGAGCAGUUUUUCAAAAAUUGAUUUCGAAAAUUAGUUUCAUACUUAAUACAAUUCCAUAUAUCCUAACAUUUAUUAUAAAAAUUCAAAUUAUCCUUAUUAAAUUAGGAAAUAAAGUCAGUACAUUUAAAUAAGAGUGAUGAUAUAGACACAAACUCUUGUACCAACUGACGUAGCAUUAAUUUAUUAGUUGAAUGAAAAUAUAAAAUAAUAUAAAUAAAUCAUGUGGGCCAAGAAAUAUUUAAUUUAACCAAUUUUAUCAUGUCACAUUAUAAGCAACUUAUAAACUCAUUGGAUUCGACUCUUUACUAAAAUAAAAAUAAAUUAAUAUAUAUAUAUAUAUAUAUAUAUAUUUACAUACAUAAAAUGUGAUUAUAUACACAUAUUUAUAAUUGAAUAUGUACAUAAAUUCUGUAGAUUUAUGUCUAUCUAUACAUUUGCAUUCUUACCACAUUUUAAAAGUGUGAUUUACCAAAUACAUGGGACUUAUUUGAAAUUUAUAGCACUUUUAUAAAUAAAAUUUAUCAAACGUUAAACAGAUUCUCUAUUUUCGCGUAUAUAUCCUCAUGUAAAUUAUAAAAAUUCAAAAUUAUCUUUAUUCAAUUAGGAAAUUAAAUCAUUAUUUUUAAAGAGAUUCUUAUUAUUACUAAUUAGAUUCAAAUAACCAAAAAAAUACAAUCAAUAAAAUAAAAAUAUUUAUUUUAGUUAUCAUUUAUUAUAUACACAUAUUUAUAAAUGCAUGUGUAAAUAAAAUUUUAUAGAUUUAUGUCUAUUUAAGUUAUUUGCAUUCUUACAACAUUUAAAAAAUGAGAUUUACUAAACACAUGUGAUUGUUUUUAAAAAAGUUACAACACUUUUAAAAAUAAAAUUUAACAAAUGUUUAAUUGACUCUCUCCAAAGGUAAUUGUUUUUACAGUAUAGCUAAAGUAAUUUAUAAAUUUAUGAUAAGUAUUUGUGAAUAUUGGUCUAUGUAAAGAAGUAAAAACAACAUAUAUAUUAAGCAGCAUGAUAUUAAAACUCUUAGUAAAAUACAUAUACUAAUAAAAGAAAGACAACAAUGCAAUAAAUAAGCUUAUAAUAUAAAUUAUUAAAAUUGUAUAUUAAAAAAUUAUGCAUGAAAUUCUUUUUCUAUUUUGGUGAUAGAGAAUGCGAUAUAAUUGAAUUAUUUGAUUUAAUAAAAAAAAAAUAUGACUGUGAAGGAAAUUAACAAUUGAAUUGUGGAAUGUUAUUAAUUGUUAUUGUAUCAUUUUGCAACGUUCUAAUAAUAUGGACAAUGUUACAGUAUAUUGAUGGGCGGUAAUAUUUUCACCUCUUAAAUUGUGUAAAGUCAGCUCCAUUUAAAAAAAUUAUAUAUAAAAAGCCCAUUAGUUUUAAUAGUUUCAAAUUAAGAUUAAAUGCAAAUAAUUAACCAAUUAAAUCCUUAUUAAUAAGAUCAUUGAGCUUUAAUUAAACUAAUAAAAUGCAUUUGAUAAAUGAAAUUUACGAUAUUUAAUUACAUGAAAUUUAUUGACUACAUGAAUAAUAUAAUUGUUCAGCUGUUUAAACUUUUUCCCUAUUUAAAUUUUAAAAAACAAUGUGAAAUUUUGUAAAUAGUUCUUUGAAAUGGGGUGGAUUUACACCAUUUGUGCAGUGCAAAUAUCCUAAUUCUAACAUUUUUUUUAAAAAAAAAGACCAAAUCAUAACAUUUUUUGUAUACUAAGUUAAAGUAGUACUAACAUUAUAGCCCCCUAAUGAUUUCAAUUCAUUCAAUGAAUAUAUAAUUUAAGCAUGUUAUAAACUAAGUCUCUAAAUCGAAUUAAAAAAAGAAAAAAGAGCUUAAUUGCUGACAUAGUUGAAAAUAAAAUAAAAAAUUUUAUUAUUAGAUGAAAAAUUAUGAAACUUAAGGGGUAUAAGCGAGUCGGCAGCUGCUCACCAGGGCAUAUGUAAUAUUUGUUAAUACAUUUCAAAAUUUUAGGUUUUUUAAUAAUAUUUUCAAUACAUUUUCUAGAAGGUUUAGAAAAAAAAAAUGACUCAAUACUUUAAUCGAGCUAUGAAUAAACUCAUGUGUUAAAAAAUUUCAUAUUUACACCCAAUAAGAUUAAUUAAUGGGUGAUACAAAUUUAAGAUAGUUAAUAAUAAUAUAUAUCAUCUUAAGUUAACUUCAACUCAUUAACCUUGUAUAAGGUUUGAUGGGUCGUGCCGCAAAUUAUCACCUCUAAUCCUUUUUGCAACAGGCAUGAUGAAUGCUAACAAAAUGAAACUUCUAUAUAUUUAGUUGUUAUUCUUUUUAAUGAAAUAAUAAGGAGCUUUGCUGCAAAUUUCCAUCCAGCAUGGCAUGGACGCACGUGAAAUUUGCUAGUAUGGUCCUGGACAUGCGUGGCUGAGAUGCUUCUAAAGGCAAAGAAUUCCAAGUUCAUACCAAAUAUAACUUUCUGAUAUUUUUGUGGUAUCAAGUUUGUUUUUCACAAACUAAGGUGUCGGCGUAAAGUUGUUGUCCAUGCAAUGAAGUUUUAUACAUAAAUAUAUUAACCUAAAUUGUUACUAAAGUUCCAUAAUUAGCAGUUCCUGAGAGUUUUUACUAUAUAUUUUUUUGUUUUAAUUCAACAUAUGUUUAUUUAAUACGAUUUUAUUAAAUAAAUGUGCAUAUUUACCAUAUUUGUCUACGAUCAAUUAGUUGGAAAAAAAAAAGAAAAUUAAUAAAUUUAUUUAUUUGAUUGUUAAUGGUUUAGGCAUUUGAAUUCCCACAAAGUCAGGGUGUCAGCUCUGGACUUCUGGUGAUGUAUUUUUCUAAUAAAGAAAUAAAAUAUUGUUGUCAUUUUUUUAAUAUUCUAAUUUACCAAGCCUACCAACCAAUUAAUUUUUCUAAUUAGAUCAUUAAUUCAUUACACGUGCAUUCGCUGGCCCAGUGCUCCAAUCCCAUGCAUGCUGCACAACUCAAUGUGUUUUAAUAAGAAAAGGUUUGGUUAGCCUGUGCUGAUGCCAGAAGCCCCUUAAGGAGUUCAGGUAAACGUAAAUAUGUCCAGAUUUAGAUUUGAAUAUGUAAACGUAAAUAGGUCCAGAUUCAGAUUCGUUGCGCUAGAGAGGGGCACGCACGAUCGGGCUGCUGUCAGGUGGUACGUUGGCGUGGCAAUUCUCAACACGCGCUUCUCCUGGUGCAUACUUACGGCAAGUUGACACGUGACCCGUGUGGAUUGAGUGGACAGAGUCACGGGCACUGAUUUUUGUCAUCCAUAACGACUAACGUCGGAGACUUCGAGAAGAAAGAAAUUGUUGUCGUUUCUAAGGGGAAAAAAAUAUUUAAUUUGUUGAAGACAAAUUAACGUCGGAGAUUUUUUUUAUUUUUUAUUUUUAAUUUUGCAAUCUAAACCAGUCUAAUCAAAAUGUCAAUUUGACAAAAGUUGGACUGAUUUAGAUUAGUUCUAUUAGUUUGAUUGGAUUAAAUUGAAUUAGAUCUUGAACAUCCUAACACUUUUCAUGAAUGUUUUCCUUUUUUUUUGAAAAAAAUUAAUAAGGAGAAUUCCCAUGAAUGUUAAUUUUAUUGAUAAACUUGGCAAUUUUAAGAAAUGUUUUGACGCACGAAUAAUGCAAUUCAUCAACCCACAUAGAUAUGGAUAUAGGAAGCAGAGACCAGAUCGAUCUUGACAUAACGAAAACUUGUAUGUGUAUAUGUAUGUUACAGACCAGAUCGAUCUGUAGCAUAGACUUCUCCUAUAUGUAGGUUAUAUUCAAAUUACAAAAUGAACACAUGUUAAGGAUCUACAACUUCUUCUUUAAUCUAAUAAGCUCCCUCAACUUUAUUCCAAAACAAAAAAGAAUCAAAUUUUUGUUGGAAAUAUUUAUGAAUGAAGAAGCAAAAAGCGCUUGUAUCAAGGAUCUAAUUAAAGAACUGCCAGAGGCAUAGAUCUAUCAAAGCUCCCUCGCAUGACUCUUGGUCUCGGUGGCUUCUUCUUCUUCAUUCCGAAUUUUCCCUCCAUCUGAUCUCUUCCAACCUUUCCAUUUCCAAAUUGAAUUGAAACUUGCCUCAUAUUCGUUUGUUGAAUCCCAUCUUUUGUUGCACCACCAUGCAUCAAAAUCCUUGAAAUCCCAGCAUAAUGCAAGGACUCAGCUAUUUGCAAUGGGGUCACGUUCUUACUUGUCCUUGCCUCAACAUCAGCUCCCUUCUUCACAAGCAAUUCAGUCACAUCUGUGUGGCCAGAUUCCACCGCACAAUGCAAAGCUGUGUACCCAUCUUCAUCUUUAGCAUCAACAUCAAUCCCUUUAUCAAUCAGAAUCCUCACAACCUCAAUCUUUCCCUUAAACGAAGCCCUAUGCAAAGCAGUCCAUCCAUGUAGGUCUUUCCCAUUGAUCGCGGCGCCUGCUUCGAUCAACCUCUGCAUUGUCCUCACUUCCCCUUUCCUAGCGGCAAUACACAGGCUGUCACCAAGCUUCAACGCGUCAAAGAGACGGGAGUGACCGCACUCAGCAGCAACAUCAUAAGCGGUCUUUCCGCUCUUGUUUCUAAUAUAUUUAUUAGCACCCUUCUGCAAUAACAGCUUCACCAUUUGCUCAUAUCCCAAGCUUGCGGCGAUAUGCAAAGGCGUGUCACCGUCUCUAGCGUUGCGUAUAUCAGGCCUUGCUCCGUUUGCUAACAGAAGUCUCGCGCAAUCUCUUCUUCUGUCUUCAACCGCGAGAUGCAGAGCUGUGUUACCAUCUUUUGUUAAAGCAUUGACAUUAGCACCUUUGAUUAAGAGAAGCUUUAGUACUUCCAAAUGGCCGCCUCGUAAGGCCAAGUGUAUGGGCCCCCAUGUUGAUGUUCCUGAUCUUUCUGUGCUGGCUUUCCUCGCCAACAAGAGCUCAACAAUAAGUGCUUCCCCUGCAGCCGCCGCGGCUUCAAGUGGAGUACUGCAGCCACACCUGCCUUGAGACUCAACAUCCGGCCCAAACUCAAGCAAAAGUUGAACAAUAUCAGGCCUCCUUUGAGCUAUAGCAAUAUGAAGCAACGUUUGUCCCUGCGCAUCGGCAGAAUCAGCCGGGUUCCAAGCCGGGUCACUCCGCUCAAGAACCUCUCUUAAAUCAUCCAUUUCACCAUCCUUAACAAGCAGAACCAAAACAGGAGACCCAACGAACAUGAUCUUGAUUCCGCUGUCGAUGAACACUUGCUUCUUCCUCGUUGUGAACCAGUCACUGGGGACGGAAUCAAGCGUCGACGUUGCAUCUUUAAUUCCAGCUCCAGGAACAACAACGCUGUGCAAGAGGAAGGAAUCAUCACAGUGAGGGAAAGAAUCAGGAAGAACCGAUCCUGGAGGGAGAUGAUACGCAAUCUCUACGCUUAGUGUUGCGAGUGGUGAUAUGAUUCCUGAUUGCGGCUUCACAGUAUAACGAGCCUUGUUUGUAGGCUGAAUCCUGAAAGCAACAGGCAUCGUGUGCAUGACAUUGCGGAGAGUCAGCUCCCCGGAACAUUUCUGCCCUGGUUCAAUUCUGAUAGCUACAAGGUUCGACGGCUCCAAGCUUACAAGCCUAUCCAUUGAUUAAUUUUCUCUCCGUUUCCCAAGGACUGCUGAAAGGGGUUCUUUGAACUUUUUGAUUCAGGCUUAUUUUCUUCACUUUUGGUGGCAUGGGGAGGAAUUAGAGGAGUAACUGUAAGAGCUGCAAGUGUUGGUGUAAUCAACUGUAAUAUAAGGAGAAGAGAGGGCCGGCUCUAAUGGGAGACUGCCACGUGGUGGUGUUAAAAACAAUGAGACUUGUUCUGUUCGGCGUCCGGAGUGUAUAUACAGUUGUGUUAGUGGUGAAAGUUAAAGAAAUCCUGAAGUUAUUUUCGGAGUGGCUUCUGCAAAGUCACUUUCAGGAUUGUAUUGUAUCAUUAAAAAACAAAGCCAGUUUUUGUUGUUCUAGUAAAAGGCGAAUCAUUGGACAAACUCGUAAGAAUAUGUUGCCAAAUGUAUAAAAUAUGAAAUUCAAACAAUGAUUACAAUGUGAAAUUGGACAAUGGACAUGGCCUGUGUGAAUUGUUUUGUGGGCUUACUAAUUAAAUUAAUUCACUAAAAAUAAUGUCACUUUUGUGUCUGUGAAGAAGCCGAAAUGGCACAGUCAUUUACGUGGCCAACUACGGUGACUACUUCGUCAGUAGCUGCUCGAGCACUUGGUCAGCACAAGUUGCUUUCUUUCUUGGCGGGAUUAGUUUUUCUUCAUUGCUUUAAGUGGUGCAUUUCUGCAGUUUCAUUUUGCUUUGCUUAUGCCAUUGGAUUUGUGCCCCAUAAAUAAAUAUAUAAUUAAGCGGAAAAGUAUCAAAUUUUGAAAAAGCUUAGGUUUUGUGUGUGUGUGUGUGUGUGUGUGUGUGUGUGUUUUAAGCCGAAUUACUCGGCUAAAAAUUAAUCCGAUUAUUAUUGUUUUGGUGCUUAAGAUGUGACUCUAACCUAAAGCUCAUUUGAACUCUCUUGAUGCUCAUAUGGUAUUUUUUGUGUUGUGUCGUGCUGGCCCUUACACAUCUCGGCUCAUAUUUUUCAUGUUACUAAGUUCUAAUAUGUACAAAAGAAAUAGAGCAAUGUCCGGUGGUAGAUCCAAACACUCAAUUUGGGGUGCUUAUUUUUCAGUCUCAAAUUCGAUUAUUUUCUUUUAAAAUAUUAAAAUAAUAGUAAUAAAAUACUUAUUUUAAAUACUGAGCUCAUUACAACCACAUAUGUAAAAGUAUCAUUUAUAUUUUUUUUCUAAAUAAUCUUCACAAAAUAUUUUAAAAAAUAAAAUUAUGUGACUAUGGGGAUUUGAACCAAGUCUCUCAAACUACUAAAUAACACUUUUACCACUAAAUUACAAAUCUUUUAACAUAUUAAAAGUGCAUCCAAAUUAUUAUUAUUAUUUAAUUAUUUCAUAAGAGAUUUGGGGCACAUUUAAAAGAAAAAAAAUUAAUGGUGCAUAAAGGACUAAAGCCUCUCUUGAGUCCUUGACCUUAACUAGGUCCACCCAUGGUAAUGUCAGUGAUACCCAACUUGAAAAAUAUACAAGAAACUUGGAAAUUUAAAUUAAUGAAUAAAUAAAUAAAUAAAAGGAAACUUAGUGAUUGUAGCUGUUGUAUUGUAUUGUGGAUCAAAGAAUUACAAGUUCUUGGUUUCUCGGUAUUGGCUAAUUUUGAAGUUAAAUGAAGUUCGAAAAUAUUUACAAGCAAUAAAAUUAUCAACUGAAUGAGACAAGGAAAGAGUAUAAAGACCUUAGCAAAUUAGCAAUCCUUCUUUAAUUUAGUAACAGUGACGCUUAUAAAGUUAGAAGACGUAUCAAAUCUAAUUUAGAUUUUGCCCCAUAAAACUAACUUAACUUAUAGUGCGUCUUUGUUUAAUUAGUAAAUAUUCCACAAAAACUGAUCAGCACUUUAUAGGAAAUUCCAAACACGUUUAUAUUCACAAGGAAUAUGUCAAGGAGAAAUGAGAAUAAAAAAAUGUAAAAACUAAUAAAGCUUCAUUAAUUAGAAUUUAUAACCAUAUGUGCUCCUAUACUACUUUUAUUAUUAAGAAUUUGAAGUAGAAGGUAGUUGAUUAUCAUGAAAUUACAAAAUUGUAAACGGAUUUGUUCUUUUGGAAAAAGAAAAAAAAAAAAAAAGGAAGGAUAGUUGAUUACUUGAUUAGUGAGAAAUCAUACGUAUAAAGGACAAAUUGAAAAAUGGGACCUGAAUUGCAACAAAGCUUCAUUGGAAUUAACUGCCGAUAAAAUUAAAUUAGUAUCACCCUACCCUUUCAUCUUAAUAUAUUCGAAAUUUCACCGAUCAAAGUUUCUAGCUUCGAUUUUUACGAUCUCUCAUCCUAAUAACACCAAAAGCAUAUUCAUUCGUUUGUAAGAUUAUGUAACAAAAUAUAGUAAAUAGCCUAUAAUUUUUUUGUUUUACUACUAACCUGUUAUCAUUCUUUUCUAAUAAUACAUGUUAAAAUAUUCACAGAAAAAAUUUAUCCCUAUUACACCCAACCACCUUUUUUUGUGUUUUUUUUGUUCAAAUUUUAGCAUUAAAGGGACAAUAAUGUCCUAUGAAAUAUGCAGAAAGACAGUUAAUAAUAUUCAAAAAUGUAAGUGGAGGUAUCUUACGCCACACACACAAAUUACACGACUCUCAUUAAUGUGUUGUUGUUGUUAUGUGUGGCGUAAGUUACAGUUGAAUGUCAUAUUCAAAAAAGUAAGUGGAGGUAUCAAUCUCCCUAAAUAAAUAAUUUAUGGAAGGUUGUUAGCUGUUGUACUUUUAGUUAAUUUUAAAAUCACAAUAAUAUGGUUAAUGUUAAGUUACAUGCAUGUAACUUAGGAGGAUCCCAAUAAUAUACCAUAUUUUAUUAAUAUGUACAGUAUUUAUAAUAUUUAAAAAUUAAGGAAUUAAUGUACGCAUGUAAAAGCUGCAUUGGAGCCAGUUGGAAAUCUUACUGUCUUGAUAUAUGCAACGAUUGUAGCAGCUAAAAAGGCAUGAUAUUUACUUAAUAUUAUUUCAAACAAUAAUUAUUUAUUUAAAGCAAAUAAUAAUAAUGAGGGCAGAAGGACUAUUCUAGGAUCAAUAUGGUGACAGUAUAAAUAAAUAAUAUUAAUUAUUAAUGCAUUGAUGAGUAUUGUUAAAAUGACAUAAUAGGUUUGUUUCAUUGAAUUGAACCUUUUCUCUUAAAAUAGCUAUAAUUUGUUCUCUCUCUCUCUGUGUUUUUGUUUUUGUUUUUCACUUUAGUUUUACUUCUCUUAAAAAACCAAAAAAAAAAAAACAAAAUUAAUGGAAACUGAUGAUGGGAAGACGGACAAUUUUCUAUAUUGUUAAAUAGAAAUGGGCACAAAUGUGAGUUUUUUGGGGCAAAAAAAUAUAGUCAAUGUACGUAGCGUUUGUCUAUUUGAAAACCCGUCAAUAUAAAAACAGGACGUAAAGCUUUCAGACAAAGUACUCUUAUGGCCGUACUUUCCAUAAACCAAAUCAAAAGAAGGAAAAUAUUUGUGUCUGGCUUCGAUGCGACUGUUAACAUUCACAAAUAAACACCUUUGCAUGGUCAGAAAAAUUAACAAGAAAUUAGAAGGCGAUGUUGCGUUCUACUUAGUUCUCUAGGAUUUGUGUCAUUUGUUUAUGCUACGGUUCGUUCCCAUUUGCAUUGCGUGGAAUAAUUGGCCGAAUAUUAUUAAUCUCAAUCUUAAUCUCUCAACUCUUGUCCCUUUAAUUUUUGUUUGUAUCUUUUUCUUUUUUUUUUUAAAUAUCACAUACAAUGCUUUUAAUAAAUAACUUCAUAGAAAUAUUUAAUAAAAUCCAACAUAUAUAAGUUCAAGAAACUCAAAAAAUAAAAGAAAAUAAACUCACGUUGUCACUGGAGAGACUCAAACAUGCUACCUUAAAAUUAAGUAGAGGGUGCAACUACUUGCACUUUAAAAAAAGAAAAGAAAAAAAAAGGGGCUUUGAACGCUCGUGAUAAUUUGCAAGUUAUGGAGGAUAAUCAUUGUACAAUGGGGAGAACUCUUAUGGAACAAUAUUCAAACUGAUAUUGAAAGCAUAUAAGAAUUUGGCUUGGGUGUUUUGGUGCCAUGAAUGAGUGCAGAAACAAAGAGGAAGCUUUGUCCCUUUAAUUUGAUCUGCUGUAUUAUAAUUAUUGAGAUUAAUCAAAUAAAUAACCGAAACAUGGUUACAGUUUUAUAGUGUAUUGCAAGUCUUUGGAGAUACUAUGUACCUCAAAAAAAAAUAUCGUAUAAAAGAGUGUUUUGUUUCACAGGGGUUCAAUGAGAUUUGAGAUGGCUGUAAUGAAAGUGAUGUAAAUUUUUUGGACUCUAAUGAGGUGUUUUUAGAUGGAGGGGGAUUUACAAGUAUUUUAUAGGGGUGAUAAAUGACUGUAUACCCACCAAAAAGGCCCAUUGUUCGAGUCCAUGAGCAUUACAGUUUUUUUUUUUUUUUUUUUUGAAAUUCAGAACAUGCAGUUUGUUUGAUUCAACUUCCGAAUUACAAAAUUAGAAUAAGAAAAAAAAAUGUGGAUGUUUUUUCUUUAAUUUACAUAAUAAUACAUGGUGUGGACGAUGUCUAUUGAGGGAUAAAAGAGGAAUGGGGGCACUGUGAAGUUUGUGUUUUUGUUUUUUUUAAAUUAUCAUAUUCAUACUGUCUAUAAAAAUAUGCAAGUUAAAAAAUUACUCAUGAUAUUGUUGUUUUUGUUUCAUAUAAUACUACUUAUGCACAUCGCCUCAUGCAAACAUUUCUUAGUUAUGCUUAAAAAAAUGAGAUUCUCACCAUGGGUCACUGUAAAAAUCCACAGAAGCCGUGGAUCACAGUAGGAAGCCCACUUGAACAGAAGAAGCUACCGAAAGCUUCGACAUUGUAUUUAUGAAAUGCUUAGUAAAUUUUGUUUUAUUUUGAAUUUAUAUUAUAAAUGGUGUGUUGCUAAAUUAAAAAAUAAAAAAGAAAUGCAAUGUGUCAAAAUACAAGAAUCUUACGGACAUUUUUGUCACAAUAUAUGUAAAUAAUUCAUAUCUUAUUCAUAUCCUAUGUAAGCUUCACUUGUUUAACACAAUGGUGGUUGAAUCUUCAAAAAUUCAUAAUCUUAAACAACCAAAUUUGGAAUUAAUUAAGCAAAUUGCCUCUAUAAAUUGAUUACAACAACCAACGACGUGUGAAGCCACAUGUCAAUUUCCCUAGACAGCCCAAAUAUUGAGGCGCUGUGAGGGAGCAAGGUGCAAUCGGAUGGGGGAAAGAGAGAGAGCCAAUGGUGAGAAUGGAUCGUGGUGAGGGAGAACCAACUGGUGGUGAGAUUUGUGGCUUCAAUGAGGUGAGUUUCGUGGCGCUGUGAGUGAAGUGAGAUUUGGCAUGAGUGUGAGGGAGAAUGCGUGUGUUGUGUGAGUGAGGUAAGCUGUGUCUGUUGUGUGCAUGGAGACUCUCACCACAAUUAGAAUUUAUAGUUAGCACAGAACGAAACACAAUAUUCUACGCUAACUGUGGAGUUAACCAUGGUGAGAAUAUCAUUAUUGUUUAUUAUAACACUUUUUUUUUUAAUUUGUUUUGACAAUAAAAUAAAGAACCUUGUAAGAAAACCUCAAUAACUCAAUUAAAAAACCAACUCAACCGAUGAUAGGUAAAUUGAGAAAUUUUCAACUAAAAAUUAUUAAGAUUGGUUUUAACUUCAAAUCAUAGUCACAUAGUUUUGUCCUUAUAAAGAUCAAAAUAAUGAAUUCUAACUCCGAAGUUUUUAGAUUUAUGUGACGAACUGACGAUAGUAUAUUGAAAUCGAUUGAAAUGAAAAAUUUAAUUAAAUGCAAUUCAAGAUGUAGUAUCAAAUUCAAACGAUUCGGAUUGUUUUAAAAAUUUCAAUGCUUUAAUCUAAAUCGAUUAAUCAAUUACACUCUUGCAAUUAUAUACCGUUAAAACUAAAAUAUGUAAAAUUUAGGGUGCAUUUAUUACCAUUUUCAAUUUGUUGUUUUUCGUUUUAUGAAAAGGAAAAUACAGAAAACUUGUUUGGUGAGCUCAUAUUGGUGGAAAACUGUACAGUGAUUAAAAACAAAAAAAAAUUCAUUUUUCAAUGUUUACAAAGGAAACAAGAAAACGCUAUUACACUGGGUUCUCUAUUUUAUUUCACUUUUACUCUCUGCCAAGGCCCUACCAUCUUAACUUUUAUAACAUGGUGUAAUAAAUUACGUGGGCCCAUUUAAUAAAGAAAUAAUCUAAUAAAUAAAUUAUUAUAACAAAUAUUUAAAAAUAAUAGCAUUCCAUACCUUACAGCUUAAUUACUUAAUAUAUUACCCAAAUUAUUUUAAAUAAAAAGUGAUAUCAUAUAAUUAUUAUACUAAAUUAUUACAUUGUUCGACCAAUAUGCAGUUAUUUAAAAAUUACUACAAACUUUCUUACAUAUAUUAAUGAAAAUAUAUCAAUAAUAAAGUUACAUCUUGACAGUUAAUAUAAAUAAAUAUAUGAUAAUUAUGAAAUAAUUAAAGAUUUUCUCAAUUAAUAUUAUCUUAUAACUACAAUUUAUUUACAUAAUUAAAAGUUUUUAAGAAAUUAUUAAAAUAUCUUCAAACCUAUAUGCAUUUAUAAUAAUAUAUAAUACAUCAUAAUAUAAUAACUAAAUAGAUAAAUUAUUUAUUAAUAUAAAAUAUAUGUUUAUAUUCAUUAUAUAAUAUUAUUCUUUCAUAGUAGUUUCAUUAAAUAAUUCUCUACUCUCUCUCUUUUUAUCUUUAUUUUUUCGGACAGACAAGUAACCAAACACCGCUUCACCUUUUUUUUAUUUUCAAAUACUAUUCUUAAAAUAAACUACCAAACAUAUUUUUAUUUUUAACAAAAACUAAUCAUUUUUAUUUUAUAAAACAAAUUGAAAAGUACUAUUUAAAAUAUAAUACCAAACUUACCCUUAAUAAUUUUAUAUUUGUCAAAAAGAUGAGAAGCUAAGUGGCACUAUCGUUUACCUAUUCAAACUAAACGUGGAGUCACAAUAUUGAAGACACUUUGGUGGCCACAACACUCUUUUCUUUAGUACGGAACAAUCUGGCUUACAUGACACUACAUAAAAAUAAAUAAUAAAAAAUCACCGAUUCCAACUGCCCCGGACAAAAAACAGGCCACACGUAAAAAGGCUUCUAUUUUUAUUUUUAUUUCUCCCCAUUUUAAAGAUGACGUCAUGGUGAUUAUGAAACCAGAAAAUAACAAAUUUUAGUUGUCUGAUUUUGUAGUUAUCCAGCGAAAACUAAAAAAACAGUGAACGCAGCAGCAGAUCUCCGUGUUUGUCGUCGUUCGAUGAGAGAUUCCGAUUCGUGAGCAUCGCAAGUGUUGAAAUGGAAUCAGACGAAAUGAGGAGUUAGCCUCUUAUUAUAUAAUAAUAAUAAUGAUAAUAAUAAUAAUAACUAAUCUCUUUUAUCAUAUAAUUGAUAAUGGAAAUUCACAUUGACAAAAGGCAAAUUACACACUGACUGGGCAGAAUAAAAAACAGUCUCUCUCAAAAGCAAUAAUUUAAACACUAACACCACCUUAAGGAGACACCCCAAAAAUAAAGCAGCAAGCUCUUACUGUGACCACACACACACACACACACCAAACUUUUAUUAUAGAAUAAAUCUAAGAUGAUGGAUGAUGGAUGCGUCACAUAAAAGUUAAUUAAUUUAAUCGCUGUCACUGCUGCUGCUGCUCUCGUGUCCGUCCUCGUGCUUCUUCUUCUUCUCCUUCUUUUUCUUCUUCUCUUCACCGUGGGCGGCGCCCUCGCCGCCGCCGACACCGGGGAUCUUCUGCUUGAUCUUGUCCACCAAGCCCUCCUUGUGUUCGCCCUCCUUGUGUUCCCCGCCGUGAUGCUGCUGCUGAUGGUGAACAUCAGUAGUGCCGACACCGGGGAUCUGCUGCUUGAUCUUGUCCACCAAGCCCUCCUUGUGUUCGCCGCCGUGAUACUGCUGCUGAUGGUGGACAUCAGUAGUGUGGUGGUCCCCACUAUGGUGCUCUCCCUUGUGCUUGUCCUCCUCCUUUUGCCCUCCUCCCAUGUGAAGGGCUUCUCCGAUCUUGUGAAUAACUCCUGACAUUUUCCCUUAAAAUGACUCUGUUCCUCUUCUUUUCUUUUCAAUGAAAAAUAGUUGUUUGCGAUCUUCUUCUGGUUGUUGUUGUUCUUGUUGGGUGAUCUUGGCUUGGUAUUUAUAGGCUCCAAAAGGAGGGACUAGAAUUAGGAUUAGAUUAUAGAUUAUUUUAAUACAUUUUAUGGCAAAUUCUGAUUUGGAAAGAUAAGAUUAUCCUUUUGGUUUUCCUUAUUUACCCUUUUGCACCCAUUACGUGUACGCGUCUUCGUGGGCUUUUUGGGUAUUUCAAUUAUAUCGCCAAUGCUAAAUCGACACGUUGCAUAUCAGCCGCGGUACUGCCGUAUGUAGUUGUCCAGAAAUCGAGUCGAUUCUCGAUCGUACAAUAAUUAAAUAAUAUUUCAUACGAAAUGAGUUUAGAUAUAUUUUGAAAAUUUAUUUUUAAUUUAAUUAUACGUGUUAUAUAUUUGUUAAUCGAAUAGAGGUCCCACGUAACAGAGUGUUUCUCUAAUCUUUCAUUGCUUUUAAUUAAUUUUACCCAAAUAAAAAAAAAAAGGAAAAUUUAGAGAGAGAGAGAGAGAUAGCGAAUUAGAAGUUGAUUGUAAUAUCGACACCUGUCAGACAAUCAAAUAUCGUUAGUUAAAAAUCAGUUGUCCAUAGUCAUGGUCAUAGAUGGCGAAAUUGAUACUUAUUUUAAAAAACAAAACAAAACAAAACGAAACGAAACUAAACUAACAGAUGUUGAAAUGCAGUUCCGUGUUAACAGUCUGUGAUGAAUCUUUAUCUUUGAGUAUACCAUUCAAGAAAUUAUCAUUCAAAAAUUUAUUUAAAGCAGCAGCAAAUCACCUUCUAAUUCCUGAAUCAAAUUAAUUCGAUUUUUUUCGAGUCGAUCAAUUCAUUAGAGAAUUAACGGGCUAAGUUAAAGUUUUGUUAGUUAUUUUUUUUUAUAUUCCUUUAGAUGAUAUGAUUGUCAUUGUCUUUCUUUCUCUGGGCAACAAUAAAUACAAGAUGUGCAAAAGCGUAGUGGAACAUAAUUCGAUUAUGGGUAAAGGGAUCAGUCCGCAUAAUGAGGAUAAAGUUUUUCUCUUUAAAAAAAUUUAACCCAAAGAAAAGGUCGUAGUUUGUAAUAGCCGACACGCAGAUAGAUCACAAAGCAUGGCGGUCCUGAUGGCAAUAACUAACUGAUAUCUUCUGCGAUGAGAGGAGAUCACGUGGUUCUGACACGUAUCGCCCCAUCAACUGAUGUUGUGGCUGCAAUCGCGGCCCAGUCUUUAGAGAGAAGAAAGAUCUGUUAUAACGGGACCUACUUUAGCAUCUAUUUACGACAAAGCCCCUAUUUACUCUACUUAGUAGUAAUAAUAGCAAGUGUCGGGCUUGGAUUCCGUGUUGCUUUAAAUAAAUAUCCGCGUAAAAAGAAAAUGCUUCUUUAAUCCCUUCCUUGUAAUUUUUCGACACGUGGAUGGUUGAAAUUAGCGUGCCGACAUCUUAGGAAUUUUAUCUUGGAGACGGGAACACUGCAGUAGGCAAUGCCAUUUUCUUCGGAUGGUGUGUGGUGACAACGCCUUGGAUUUUGACGUGCAAAGAAUUUAAAUUGAAAAAGAAAAAAAGAAAUUACCAGAAUAAGCAUAGAAGAGAUAUUUUUCUUUUUGUCCUUUUUGGAAUGGAAAAAGAGAUCAAGAGAUUGUUCCAGUAAGUAUUACACAUGUCACAGGCUUAUUCAUGCCCCAUUAUGGCAACUUUUAUGCCUCGCGGUGCCCUCGGUUCCAGCAUAAUAGCUAAGACUUCAAUUUUUCUAACAUAUUUUUGUUACAAAUAUGAACGGAGUAAAUGUAUAACUUUAAUCCUUUGAAUAAAGAAAUGGCGGUUCUCCUGCUCGUUAAUCUCACUUGAAUCCCACCCAGGCAAAAUUUCUUUAUUUUAUUUAACAACAAUUUAAAGAAAGAAACUUUUGCCAGGUUGAAUUUCAAGUGAGAUUCAUUCGUGGGAGAAGUGCCAUUUCUUUAUUCAAAAGAUUAUGGUAAUUACAACUUUCAAUUUCGACAUAAAUUAAAAUUAUAGGCUAUACAAUAAAAUUGCCCUAAAUUAGUCCUAAUCAAUUCAGAUUAUAAAUUUAGGUAUAUUUAUUAUUUUAAUAUAUUAAUGUUCUAUAUAUAUAUAUAUAUAUAUAUAUAUAUGUGUGUGUGUGUGUGUAUNNNNNNNNNNNNNNNNNNNNNNNNNNNNNNNNNNNNNNNNNNNNNNNNNNNNNNNNNNNNNNNNNNNNNNNNNNNNNNNNNNNNNNNNNNNNNNNNNNNNNNNNNNNNACAGCAGAAAAUAUUUGCUAUGGAUAAGGAGACAUGGUCCCACGUCCCACCGUCCCAAUGCAUAUUUUGUAUGUUUCCAUCUUUUCUGAAAUUUUAAUAAAUAAAGUUUUUUGACCACUUGGCCAAAGAACCUUACCCUUACACAACUUUGUGGUUGGAGUCCUGUGAUACAUGUAAGAACUUAUUUUUUUUCUUAAUUAUAAUAUUUUAGAAUAUAAUUAAGUGAAGUAGGUUUUUUUUUUAAAUAUGAGUAAAAUAGAUAUUUUUUAAAUAUUAAAGAGAGUAAAAUUUGAAUAAUAAUAUAUUAAAAUUAAUACAAACUAAUUUUAAUAAUUAUUUAAUUAUAAAUAUCAAUUAUAACAUCAUAUAAUAUCAAUUAUAAUAUCGUACAUCUCAAUUAAUUCAAUAAUAAUAAUAAUAAAUGUUUUUUGGGAUAAGUAAACAGUCGCAUGGCGACAAUAGUGGAUCUGGAUUAGAGUGAAGUGGUCCCAAGAGGCUGAGGCUGUGGCUGUGGAGUUCUAAAAGUCAAAAGCUCCACGCACUUUGUUUCAGUACCAUACACACUGAAAAAAUUUGCAUUUGCAAUGACGAAAACUUUUCACGAAAUCAAAACACCUCUAAACUAUUUUGUUAUCGAUAUUUAAUGGAGGGGUUUCCUACCUUUUUAACACUCGAUUCACGCCUUGACGCAUCUCACAGAAAACCUCAUGAUCCCAUUAAUCUUGCGUAACAUAUCUCAAAGCCAAUGCAAGUGAUCUUGUUGCCUACUUCCCUUUGACGAUUCAAAAUUGUUGAAAAUAAUUCUUUUUUUUUUUAACCUCAAGGAAGUGACAAAAUAUAAAAGAAUAUUUUCUACACAUUAAACAUCUAGAUUUUUUUUUCUUUUCUUUUUAGAGUACUUGCACAAACCGUUUCCAAGAGAGACCUUUUUUUUUUUUUUUUUUUUCCGGGCUUGGUUACUAAUUUGGUGUGAAUACUCUAUGGUGAAAAAGGAAUCACAAAGCUGUAAUCAAUUUUUUUGCAUCAUUUAGUUGUAACUUGAACAUUGGGAGGUUUAUAAAGAAUUAAAUUAAUUAUAAUGCCUCUACUAGGAAAAGUUCAGAGUAGCCCUUCACAACUUUUUAAAGGCUUAAUAAUUUUCGCUUUCUUCCUCUCAUAACAUAACAAAAAAUUAAGAGCUUUACUCGUACACGUCCUAUGGCUAUAUAGUAUUGGGUUCUCUACUUCAAUCGGCUAUCUCAAACCGAAGGUUAUUUGGACACACCAGCAGUCACGUUUGGAAACUCUCAAAUGCUUGGAUUGUAAUUCUUGUGGAUGAGAUCAUCUAAAUCUUGGGCCCAAGCCGGACAAUGGGUGGACAAAGAACCCUAAAAUACAGUAAAGCUUCUAACACCCCACUAAAACUCUUAAGAAAUCCUACCUUUUAUUUUUAUAUCUCUUUCUUUUAGAAAUUAUAGAGAAGACAUAGCAUUUUAAUUAUUUUCCCUGCCAUUGAAAAUAAAUUCUGUAAACAUAUUUUUUCAUAAUAAAAUUAUUGUUAUUAGAUAAUUUAUUUCUUCAUUGUUUCAAAAUUAUUAUAAUUUUAUCAACAAAAUUAGUUAUGUCAUAUAUUAGGAUUAAAAUUAAUUAGGAUCCAUAACUUGUAAAGACAUUUUAGUUUAAUUGAAUUCAUAUUUGUCAUUUUAUGUAAUUUUCAAUAAAAAUACGACUAUGAGUGCAAAAGUGGGAUGACAUAAUAUUAAAAGAGUGUGAAAUAAUCGGUAAUUGAAAUGGAUUGAAAUCAUAAUAGAGUAUGAAAAUCAGAAUAAAUUGUUUACUUUAGUUGUAGAAAUCAAAAUUAAAAUAAACCAUAUUAUCAUUGAUGUAUAUAUGUUUUCUUGUAAUCGAAAUGAAUUCUUAUAAGUUACUAUAAGACCCUUAUGGUGUGUUUACUAAUCAGAAAUCAGAAUGGAGUGGAAUUUGAAUAUAGAAUGGUAGGGGUAUUCGCGGAUCGGAUUUUACGGAUUGGACAUUAAUUCAUAUCCGAUCCAUAAUUUUACGGAUUAUAAAUUCUCAACACAAUCCAAAUCCAAUCUAUAUGUUUGCAGAUCGGAUGCGGAUUUGACUCAAUUCAUAUCCAAUCCACUAUUUGACGGAUUGAUUUUGGAAUUAAAAAUUUUUAAUUUUGUCCAAUCUAUGAGGUAAUUAAAUUUAAAAAUCUAAUAUAAAAAUAAUUUAUUAAAUAAAAAAUUAACGUAAAAAUAAUUUUACUACCAAUUAAAUUCAAAAUUGAACAAGAUUUAAAUAAAUUAAUUAUUUAAAUAAAACUAGAAUAAUUUAUUUAAAAUUUUUAAAUAUAACAUAUCGAAAAAAAAUUCAUUUGUUUAGAUUAAUAUAUGAAAAUUAACUAAAAUUAUGAAUUUAAAUGUUGAAAUUUGAGAGCUUGGAUGUAACAGGAAGAAAUUAAGAAACUUGAAGAACUUGAAAAGAAAGUAACAAAUUAAGCUUAACUACCUCUAAUGGUGAAGUGAAACAGUGAUGGUUUGUGCGUGCAAUGGGGUACAAAUUUGGCAUUAUAUGCCAAAAUAUUUUGUUUGGCUUUAGAAUUUUUAAUGUUUAGGAAGCUAUAUUUGUUUAUUUAAUUACUCAAAUAUUUAAUUAUUUUUUAUUUUAUGUUAUUAUUGAAUAAGAUAUAAUAUUGUGUUAAUUUAGCUAUACUUUAAUUAAUUAAUUAAUUUAUUAGUAAGUAGCAUUGCUACAUUUAUAAGUUUUAUUUUUUAUUAAAUAAAUACUUUUUUUUUUCAGAUUCACGAAUUUUUACGGAUUUACAGAAAUAAAUCCAUAUCUAAUCCAUCGACUGUGGUUUUUUAAAUUUUCAUUCCAAUCCGAUCUACCAAUCCACAAAUUAUAUUUUUACGGAUCGGACGAAUUGAGCGGAUCAAAUUGGGUUCUGAACACCCCUAGAGAAUGAGAAUCAAAAUAAAUUAUUUACUUUAGUUGUGUGAAUCGGAAUUGGAAUAAAUUGUACUGUCAUUGAUGUGUUUACUUUAUCUUGGAAUCAGAAUGAAUAAUUUCAAAUUACUAAACUGACCUUAAUUUUUUAUUGUAAUAAUAAUAGUAGUAGUAGUAGUAAUAGUAGUAAUUUUCUAUUAUUAUUAUUAUUUUCUCUCUCUUUUGUUUUUAUUUUUUUAUUUUUCUCUUCUUCUUCUCUUCCUCUUUUUUUAUUUUUCUCUAAUUCAUCGAUACUUCUUCUUCUUCUUUUUUCUUUCGUUUUUAUUUUUAAUUUUUCCCUUCUUUAUCGUUCCUUCUUCUCCGUCCAUUCUCUAUCUUCAAACUCUUUUUACUUUUUCUCUUAUUCUUCAUUACUUCUUCUCCCUUUUUUUUUUUUUUCUCUUCUUUAUUAAUUCUUCUUCUUCUGCGUCUAUUCUUCAUCUUCAAAUUAUCAAGUGAAAAAUACCCACGGUGCCUUACAAGAAGAAUUGGUUUUGUUUGCUUCAAUUAUUUUUUGUAUUUUGUACUUUUGAUUGUUUCAAAAGAGGAUAAACUUGUAAUAAUGCAAUUUAAGUAGGGAUGUUUUAGACAAUUUUGGGUAUGAGAGUCUAAUUCCCAACCCCCCACUCCCUCGUAGCAGACUCCCAUUCUUCAUUCCUAACUUGGUGUUGGACCUACUAAAAUAAAUCCCAUUCCCCUUCUUAUUUCAAGAAGCAAACACGAUUUUGAUUUCAAUUCCCCAAUCCGAAAGUAAACGCACAAAAAUUGUACCCAUAUGAGAUUGCUUAUCCUCGAGUUUUUAGAUUGAAAAAAAAAAAGGAAAAAAGAAUGGCCCCAUUAGGAAGGGAUUUUAAGUGUUAGAUAAAGCCGGUGUUAACCAUUAGAAGGUCUCCGACCUUCAACUGUAAUAUAUUAAACCCAGAUAAAUUUACAUAUAAAUCACACAAACCAACAUGCCAAUCAAAUAAAUUACAUCAACUAACAACAAUUGACACAUUAAUUUUCAUAAUACAGAGGAUGCAGAAAAUUAAAAUGUUUUAUCUUUUCUCCUUAUUUGUGAAUUGGAAAAUGAAAAUGUUAAACAUACAGAAGAGUGAAACAGGAUGGAUAUAUAUACACACACACACACACACAGCUUUGGAGUUCAAUGUCAUCGUAUUGCUCCAAGAAGAUUGGCGCCAUCAAGCUUUGCACCUUCCAGAUGCUGUUUAAUCAUCACCAUAACACCUUCAGUAGACAUUAAUACAUAAUAGAAACACAAAAUUCACAUGAUCUGAAUGUCUGGUCUAUUUUACUUACCGUAUCUCGAAGAUUUACGUGCCGUAAAUAAGCUCUUUGAAGGUUGGCACCCUUUAAAUUGGCAUUACGUAGCUUUGCACCCUGCCGCAUAAAUGUUCGAAGUUUCAACAAAUUAAAGUCUCCUGAGAAAUACAUGUCACGAAAAAGUAGGGCUGAAACUUGCAUCUAAUGUACAAGAUUCAAUCAGGGGUGCUUGUCCCACAGUGAAAGUGUAUGGGGGAAAGUGCACUUUCACAAACCAAAGGGGCAAGAUGUGAUUAUCACACGAUUACAAAAGGACUGUAGUCAAGAGAGAGAACUGAACAUGCAGCUUGUAUUGAGGCCAUGAAAAUUGAUGAAAAGCAGUAACAAGCAACCAUUUUGAAAACACUUCAUAUGGUCGAAUCAAUAAAUCAAAGCUAAAAUGAUGUUGACGAUCGAUAGCUUUUAGGUGAUAAGAGUCUUGGCACUACAGUUAAAAUUAUUAUCUAGGAGUGCACACAUUAAUAAAAAAAAACACAACCAAUAAGCAUGCACUCUUAAUCAGCAUAUAAAUUAACAAGUUAGUUGCACCUUAUGUUGUUCCACAAACAGAUUGCUCGAACAAUUCACAAUCUUACCUUCAAAUUAGCUCCUUCCAAAUUAGCUCCCUCUAGGUUGGCAUUAGUAAGAUCAGCAGUCUGAAAAGUCAAGAGGACAAACAGAUUGCAAUUUGAUUAAAAUCUCAAAGUAGCAACAUUCUGCAUGAAAGAAGAGCAGCACAAUUGGCAACAUACAUUUUAGAUUAAGAGGAUGGGAUAAAAGCAAAAUUACAAGGACAUGAAGCAAAUGAGCCAUGUUUAGUAUGGCAAUUUUGACCCAAUAAUUGUGGCAGGUCUUGGAGAUAACAUAGGCAUACACAUAAGGCAGAAGCAAAUACUGUCGCAAACUCCUAGCUAACUACAAAUGUUCCAUAUAGAAAAAAACACCUGCAAAAGUAAGGGAAAAAGCAACAGAUAAAGAACUCAAGAUGCUAGACCUGUAAGUGUGCAGAUCGCAGGUCUGCUCCACAGAAGCUGCAGUCUAUCAAGCAAGCAUCUGCAAUGAUUUAAGAUAAAUUUGAAUCCAAAUGACAUUUUACCGCAAGUAGUUCCAGCCAUUUUGGGAACAAACAAGAAAUGCUAUUUUGUAUUCAUUGUAAUUCCUUAAGCUAAAUAACAAUCAUGUGCUAUCUUAACCAAGGUACAGUUGCAAAUUCUGAAAUUGUGAUGCCAUAGGUUGUUCUUAAUCUUUUUGAACUGAAUAUUGAAAAAAUAUUCCUUCAAUCAUAAAUGUUAAAUAAUUAAAAGAACUGUGAGGGGGGNNNNNNNNNNNNNNNNNNNNNNNNNNNNNNNNNNNNNNNNNNNNNNNNNNNNNNNNNNNNNNNNNNNNNNNNNNNNNNNNNNNNNNNNNNNNNNNNNNNNNNNNNNNNNNNNNNGGGGGGGGGGGGGGGGGAAUGAAUAAGCGGAUGCAUACAGAAAAUUAUGGAAAAUCUGUUAUGGAAAUAAUAUGAAAAUGGGUAUGCAUAACUACAUACUGAAUCUUGACUAAUUUCAAUUUAAUUCAGAUAAGAAAUUCCAGUAUGGGAAUUGCCUUGUAAAUUUGCACUCUGAAGAUUUGCACCAGCUAGUAAAGCUCCACGAAGGUUUGCCCCAGCAAAUUCACAUCUUCCCUAGGCAAGAUAAAACCCUUAAAAGGCAAUUUUGAAAAAUACAUAUAAUUGGGAGAAUAUCCAGUAUUGCUUUGACUCUCUUACUCACGCAAAGUUGCAUUGUGAAAAAUGGAACCCUCAGCAUCCACAUCCUGUAUCAAGAACAGACAGAUUCAGUAUGAUUAAUAUAACUGGUUGCUGGAAGACAGGACAAAAUCGCAUCUUGUCACUGUCAACUUGCAUGUUAAGAAUUAAACACGAAAACUGCAUGCUGUCCAAUUAUAAGAAACCUAUAAAAUUCAAAUCAACAUCAAUACUGGCUUAAGGAAGAUAUAAAAAUAAAAAUUAUACCAACCCGAAAUUUCGCAGAUUGAAGAUUUGCACGUGAGAAGAAAACAUUUCUAAGACACGCAUAGCUGAAGUCCACAAGUGAAAGAUCCUGGCCAUUUUAAUAAGAUAGCAUCAGAGGAAACAAUAUCUAAUGAAUAUAUAAUGUUCUUUCUUGCUUAUCUGAGAAUACUAAUGAGAUUAUCAAAAAAACUCUAAGCUACUGCUAAGAAGUCUUGUGUUACAUGAGUAUGAAUUGAGGAGGUAAAGAAGACCCUUCUCCAAUAAGUUACCAUAGAAGCCACAUAAAACCCUAAAGCAGUUACAAACUUACAAUGACCAGAAUAAACCACCCCAACUAUCUAUUGGCAAGUAAAAUCACUUCUCUGGAUUUCUGAAAACUAGCAAAACAAAUGCAUAAAUUGGCAAAUUCGAUGAUUUCCUCUGAAAACCAAAUUAUAGCAGACAUAAAACUUGGAAGUAUUCAUAGAAUAAAAAUCUUUCAAGCACCUCAAUUCAGUAAUUAUUACCAGCUUAGAAAGAUCAAGGCCAGAAAGAUUAAGUCCUCGAAAUCUGACUUUUUCAGACUGUAUACACUUGAUGAUAUCAAUGCGUGUUAGCUCAGUAUCUAACUCAUUAUCUUCCUUUCUCUUAUUUAUGACAGCAUGGAUUCUCUCAAUUAGUCCCUGAAAUGAAACACAUUAGAUGCAAACUAUUAUUUGAAAAAAGAAAUACAUUUUAUCCACUAACACACAUGGAUUUCAACAGCAAUCAUACAAUAAUUGAGGAAGGACGGUCAUAUCAGACUCAUCUGCCAAGAUUCAAUAAGCACAUCAAACUUGUUUACAUGUAAUUUCCACAUUCCACGUGAAUUUAUAAGGUCUGCCUAAGCAAACCAAAGAAGGCUACACUCAGUACUGUGUGUAUACUGCCUUACCUUUGCUGUUCCCCAGAUACCGUCCUGCAAUCCAGAUACUUAGCUGUGAAGUUUCAAGCCAGCGAAACCAUUUUAAAAGUACACAUGGACACAGAUACCAUUAUCUGAAUCAUCUUCGAUAACAAAUUAAAAUGCCCUAGCGUUCAAAAAACUUAGGAUCUCUUUAAGUGAAGUUCCUUUAAAAAAGUAGAAAAAAACUGAACAACAAUGUCAUGCUAAUAAAAGGUAAAAAAAAUAAAAUAAAAUAAAGCAUAAGGACAGAAGUUCACCAGGAGCAUGCCAGUAUAAACCAAAACGACCACAAAUCUCAACCAUAAAAUUUAAAGUAGUAAAGUAAAUAAUCAAGGGCAUGCAGUUGGCACAGGUGCUUCCAAAUAAAAUGAUGAUUCUUUUCAAACAGAAAAAAGAAAUGGAUGUUAAUAAACUAGAAGAAACCAUGUCUUACAAGUAAUUGAUAAUAUUCUGCUUCCCGUAGAAGCUCUAAAAACUCUGACUCUGUUAAUGUGGGGACAGCCCCAUCCCUUAACCAAUUCAGAAUAUGCCGAAAAUGUUUUCCGUCCCUAUCAACAAAGAUAUAGCCCUGCAAUAAUUCAAUAUGCUCAAAGAUAAGAAUCUGAAUAAUAUACCCAAGAGAAGUGCUUUUCCCUGGAAUAAUAAAAAGAAAAUAAGUCAAAACGUUUUUCUUAAUGGAAGAACACAAAGGAACAGCUCUAUGACUAACAUGAAAACCAUAAAUCAGAAUAAGAACCCAAAACUGGUCAUUUGGAGUUUCACCAGAUCAAAAAGAUCACAUGGAAAUAAAAUUGUGAAAAUGGGAUUAUUUAUGCCGAGGUCAUGGCUAAACUGCAAUCAUUACUCCAUUUUUGGUAGAAGGAGAAGAAGAAAGAAGAGUAGGUGAGUCAUCAUUCUUUCAGGUGAGUCAUCAUUCUUUCUCUGUGAUUAAUUGAUAUGAUGGAAGUGUUGUAGAUAUUAAUUUGAUAGUGAUUCCUCCCUUCAAAAGAAUUCAUUCCUUUUUUUAUUAUUUCACAAAGUUUAACUAAGACUGAGUUUUCUCAAUUUGAAGGCAUCGUGCACUCUACCCCUUUCUUUUCCUCACAUUGCUUCUUCCCAAUCCCAAAGGGAAGAAAUCAAGAAACAAUUACAAUUUUUAACUAUUCACCAGCAAAAACAAGGCAAAGAAAGAUGCUGAGUGUAAGCAAAAAUAAGAGAGUUAUACACCUCAGAGUCUUGGCACACAGUAUGGCGACCGCUGAACAUAGCUGCAAGCAUAGAUUCAGGCUCACGACGAGUCAGAGUAUCAAUUGUUGUAUAAAAUUUCUUUCCCCCUGGAUAUUAAUACAUAAAAUAUAAAUUUGUUCACUUAAAAGCAUGAAUUGUGCAAAUUUGUCAAUAAUGUCAUUCUUUCACAAACGUUCACCGAAAUGUAUAACAAUAAGUGCAUCAUAACAUAACUAAACGGCUUAAGAACUGCGCAGAUAUUACAUACAGUAGAGAAACAAGAAAUAGAAAAUGAGAUUUGCCCUUUUUAAACAGAAAGCAAUCAAAGAGUAAACUAAAGAGCUAAUAAUUCACAAAAUUCAGUUGAUUAAACUCAUUUACAAGUAAUUAGCAACAAAAUCCAAGCUAAAUAAAAAUAAUGAAAAUUAGGUUCUUAUAACAUCCGUCAAUUCUAUGAAAGUUUACCACGAUCAGCAACAAAUAGAUAAAUCGCAAUAAAGAAAAACCGACGACAUGUCGGUUGUGUAGUGCAUAAGUAAAGGAAUUUGCAGAUGAUGUAAAGAGAAUGAGGGAUAGUAACUGACCGAUGUUGAGACGAACCAUUGAAGACGAAUCGGAGUCCUUCGCCAUUGUCGAGUGUAAUGACUUGUCGUCUUACUUGCGCUCAUAGGUAUUUAUAUCAUAGCUGACACUGUUCGAAGGACAGCAAGGAUUUGGUGGGCACAAAUGCAUUUUGGAAAUUGGGCUUCGGCCCAAGAAAUCGAAAAUCAGAGGCUUUUUUUUAAAAAAAAUUUAAAAGGAUUAGAAUGUCUAUAAAUUAAUAGGGCUGAGACCAUCUUAAAUCUAUUAAGUAAAAGAGAUAUUAAAUAUUUUAUUAAUUAAUAAUUUAUUAAUUUACAGAAUUAUUUAUAAUUCAAUUAACAUACAUUUAAUAACUAAACAUUCAAUGUACAUAAUUUCUGAUUACAAUUCAAAGCACUAACAAUACUUCAUAAUUUCUUAUUACAAUUCAAGAAUUCAACCUCAUAGCUUUUAGAUGCAAUAAGAAAAAUAAGAAAUAAGAUUCAGUUAUAUUUAAAUUUUAAGAAAAAAACAAUAAAAUCAUAUUUUAUGUAAUUAAAAUAUCAUAGUCAACUACAUUUGUAAUUUCAACAAAUUAUUACUCUAUGAUUUAAAUGAGACCACAAAGUUAUAUAAGAUUUUAUCGAAAUUAUUAAUUUAAUCCAUUAGUCCAUGUCAAGACCUUGAAAAUUUAAUAAUUAUAUAAUAGAGAUUAUUAAUUUAUCGAGUAUUAAUUUAUAGAAGUUCUGAUUGUAUAUUAUUUUAUAUUAAUAAAGAAUAAAGUAGCAUUCUUUUUUAAUUCCGAAGUAAUAAAAUUAUGGCUAAAUUAAGAGAGUAGAUAUAUUUUAUAACUUGGUUUAAUAACAUCACGCGCCUCCCUUGUAGUUUUGCAGCUUUGAAGCUUUAUAAUGAAUCCUAUUAGCUUUGGCUGGAAAGUUAUAUUGUUAAAGAGAGUUUAUAUAUUAAACAAGGUGAUCUAAUAUUUCCAAAACUAAAUUUGGGAUCAAAAAUAGAAAACAUUUGCAUGUUUUUACCUUUUGGAAGAAUUACUUGAUAAGUGCUUCACAGAAAAAUGCUUGCUAUUAUAGAGCACCCUAAAAAAAAUCCUUAAUAAUUGAGGGAUCAUAAUAAAGUUCAAUUCUAAAUCUGUCAGAUAGAUCGAAAGUAACAAACCAUAUAUAUUUAAAUCUAUUUAGUAAUCCAGGGUUACAAGCCAAGCGUGCAAUAGCCAAUUCUGAAAAUCAAAGCUCAGCCUAUGCUCUCUGAGCACAAAUAAGAUCUGAUAUAUACAUAUCGAAUCCUCCAUUAUGUGGAGUGAAAUUUCCAUCGUGUACGGUGUACCUAACAAUGAGAAAGCAUGGCAGCAUAAAUUCAUCUUCCAUGUUAUUCUACUUAUUAGUACUGGUUCCCUCAUAACUUCUCCAAAUCGGGGAGGUCUGCAAUGUGUAAAGCACGUAAUCAGAUAAAAGAAAGAGAGCCAAAAAAAAAAAAAAAGGUAACAGCCAAAAGAUUAAAUUUCUUUGAGAAAUAGAAAAUGGGAGCUUUUGGCAUAGGCACAGAAUAGAAAGUAACAGAGUCAUUUACAGUUGUUCAGAAUAUGCAAGCUGAAAACAACUUUGAAUGCAAUGGACAAUUCCUCCAACAAACAAUCGAAUUGGAUUGUGGAAGAGACAAAAGCUUAAUGAGGUUAUGGUUUUGGCUAGGUGAACUCAAAAUUCUUUUAUAGACCAAGUAGGUAAAAACAAAUCCCAUAUAGAUGGAUGAACCUCAUACCAUGAACAGUUAAUCGCGAACACUUGCAGGCUUAUGCACACGACUAUGAAGAUACUAAGGGUUUCACCGAUGGUAAGUGAAAAAUAUAUGAUGUAUAAUUUAAAUGGAAGCACAUAGUUUCGGAUUGAAUUCAAGGUUAAAGUUCCACAGACAGACAGAAGAGAUGAAGCUUAAAAACUUACAGAGCAUUCCUUCAUCAUCACUGCUUUCAUCAUUUUGGCCAACAUGCUGAAAAAAGAAUAUGAUUCAAGUUAAAUGAUUGAGCAACAAUAAAAAACGUGCAAAAUUAAUGCUCUCUCCACAAAAAUUUCAGUCUAUAUUGGUAAGAAGAAACAGGAAGAAAAAAUUACCUCAGCAUCAUCGUCAUUGGAAGCCAAAUCAGCUGUAAAGACCACAAAAUGUUUGGUUAGAACCAGUGGAAGUCUUACUCUAAAAUUUUUAAUUUUUGAAUUUCGAAAGAUCUCGUAAUGACAAAGAUUUUCAUAUCCAGUGACCAAGUUUUGAAAAUUAGAAUACGGAAUGACAUCAACUAAAUUCACUAAUAUAAGCUAGAGGAAUCCCUAGUAGAUAUAGCGCACAUGCACACAUGAUAUGCAUCCGAAUACACAAUAAUAAAUUAUCUCAAAGUCAAUAAGAAGCCAAAAUUAGAGAUAAACUUUUAGCCACUAUAAGGAAGACUGAUAUUUGCAGUGUGAUUACAAUAAACAAACAGAAACUUCACUACCCAUAAGUAAAACAAAAUAAAUAAAGGAUAAUAACUAACCAAGAAAUGGAAAAGCUCACAUUCUCUGAACACGCACCCCAAAAAGAAAGAAAGAAAUAAAUGUUCUCAUUGGAUCUGAAGCACAAGCAAUCCACUGACAUCCUUCUAUAAUUAGGUAAUUUAAAGGGGUUAAGCUCACAUCUUUUACGGAAGUAAGAAGAGAAUUAACAACCUUCCAGAGGAUUUAGGGAAAUACCACGAGGCAAGAAAAAAGAAAUAUCCUUCUUCAAUCUAGAUAUCCUGAUACUGCUCACCAUCUACAACAGUCUGUGGCUUAAAAAGCAGGUCACUGAUCUCUCCCUCCCUCUGGCACCAUUUUCUCUCAUGUCUCAUUUUUCCCUUCCUGCCAACUCCCACUACAGUAUUGAAACCUAUUCUAUCAACUCUUCCCCCUCCAAUAACAAGACCAAAACCAAUUUUACUCGCCGGUUAGCUAGGUAGUAAAUGGAAAUUUGUGAAUCUGUCAUUCAUCCGUAGAAACAAACCAGAACUGCAUAAAUUCUCUUCUCUCCCAACAGCUUCUUUUCUCCAGAAAUAGGCACAAGUAUUUGACAUGGAAACAGUUUAUCUAACAUGGCCACCUUUAAAGACAAAGACAUACUAAGGACGUGGUUUUAGAUACGGAUACAAGAAACAAUCACAAAAUGUAAAAUCUAUACAUAUGAUAUUAAUUUCCAAUGGAUACAGCAAUUCAUUCUUUGACAUAACUUCAUCAGAUUACUAGGUUUGAUUAGGUUAUACACACAUUUAUUCAUUUAUUGAAUCUACAUGCACUUAGAAUGAGAGGUACCUAUAAAAACAAGUUACCAGAAAACAAUACAGCUAGAAAACAUUAAUCUAAGUAGUUCUAUAGGUUUAACUAACUGCAGGAAAAAACCAUUGAUUUUGUCCGCCAGAUUAUCGAGAUCCUAAUUCUGGUAAAAAGAAAAUGAGAUAAUAGAAAAUCAAAAAUUAAAUAGACACAAAAUGAGAAAUCAAGAUCAUAUGGCAACUAAUAUAUAGCAUGGGCUGCAGCUAACAAGCAAUAUAAGCCAUGAUAUUAUGCCAGAUACAAAUUUUGAGAUCCAAGAGAGAUCAAGAAGCAUGAAUACCACUAAAAUAUCGAAAGAAGUGAGUGCAGAAGGAUAAGAAAUCAGGUUGAUAUUCUUCAUACUUUGGAUCAACACGUAGUGAUGCAAUAAACUUGUAAUUAGCUUCAAAUGUAUAGGCUACCAUGUCAACAUUUCCGAAAACACACAAGAUUGUGCUGGAUUCAUACAUAGUACAUAUAUAAAAAAACAAUCUGCUUCUAAACUUCAUGAGAACAUCGAAUAAUGAACUUACAAUUUGAUCCCUCAUCAUCUUCAUCGCACCAUUUGUUCCAAUCAACCUUAAUGUAAGGUGCUGGUUUCUCUUCUGACUUGAGUAGCCUUUUCCACCAACCUUUCUCUUCUUUUUGGACCGAGCAUAUUAUGUUCCUUAAGCCAACUUUAGUCUUACAUUUCUGCACCACCAGCAACAAAACUCAAAGCAUUACAAAAGAGGUAUAUUUAGCCGCUCUUGACUCGAGUGAGAGAACAGGAUAAAUAGCCUAGGUAUAUCCACAUCCAUGUUAUGAGAUUGAUUAUGCAACAGCUAACUUUAAUAUAAAGCUUUUGCUUCAACAAAGACUAAAAUGUUUGUAAUUGUUAUGCUUUUGGAGCUAAAAUGUUUGGCAAACACCCACUUUUACUCUGCACCUAAUAUCUACCACCCACCCACACACUAAGUCUCUCGUUUGGUACAGCUAUUUAUCAGUAGUGGCUUUAAGCCACAACAUUUAAAGCGAAUUUACCCUAAAAUUUUACAAUGAAAAACCUAUACUACCUUUAACAUUGUUGUCAAAAUUAUUAUUAUAAGUAAUAUUUACCAAACACUAUCAACUUCCAAUUCAUAUCAAAGAGCUUUCACUCCACAAUAGCCGUGUCUUCUUAAGCCAGAACAACACAAUACCAAAGGCCUUAAGCUAGUGAUUUGAUUUCACAACAACUGCAGAUCAAGCCUCAAUCCCAAACAUACAUAAAUCAAAUGCAGAAAGCAAAAAUUUAACAAUAUGUUUGGUAUACUAAAUGUCUUUCAUAGUUUCAUUUCACAGGGUAUUUAGACAUGCAAUGAUAAAUUGGAGCAAUUUCAAGAACCGAAUUGACCUCAGGUAAAAUUUUGCCAAAAAGUUCCAAGCUGAAGUCGUAAAGCUCGCCUUGGACUCCGACGGCCGAGAAGCCAAAAAUCCCCUGAGGCUCGCAUUUCACAGAAAUGUCUUUCGCAUCGGGUAAUGAAAUGGUAAGGUAUACUUUAUCGGAGCGCUGAGCCCAAAGAACCUCCGGAUGGCGACUGAACAUAAAAGAAAUAAUAAUAAUAAUAAUAUUAUUAUUUUUUAUUGUGACAAUUUUGAACUAAUAAUUAGAGACAUUUAACAACAAUAUUGAUUAAUAUUGGAGAAGAAAAAUAAGGUUACAAGAGAGAAUCAGAAAGAUUACCUCAUUCUGGUGGAUGAUUGAAAACGGUGGGUCGAUUGAUGAACAGAAGUGUAACUGUCUGGGAGUGAGAGUGACUCUGCUGUUUACUGGGUAGAGUGUGCUUACUCGAAGAAAUUGAAAGUGAUAAUCUCGGGCAAGCCAACACGUCGAUUUGGUCAACAGUGGUCCAACAAACCAGGAACUAGGUUUUUUUUUUUAAAUGAUUUUUUUUUUCAGUAUUAUAUUGCCCCGCCCGUGGGCUAUUACAUUUUGGCCCUUUUGGGGACCCCUCGUUCUCUUACAAGAAGGGAAUAUUCUUUUCCAUCCACCGGUUUGUAGGCAGAGUACAUAUACUCUUCGAAAUUAAGGACAAAUUUCUGAAUCGUGCCGCAUUAGAAUUAAAUUGAGUCUCAAAAGAAUUUUGGUUAUAAGUAUAUCGUUCAAACGGUAAUAUAUUAAAAAAAAUAAUAUUUACUACAAUGUAGACCUAUCGGGACUUUGAAGCCCAGACCAAUUCUUGAGUCUAGCCUAAUAACACCUCAACAGAUCAAAAUUGAAAUCCAACUUAAAUUUCAAUAUUGUGUAGGGAUCUGCCUUAAUUUAGAUAUGUCAAGACCUGCCUUAGGCAUCAAAGUGAUCUAUCUUAACAUAACUAAGACUUUCUUUAAACAUCACAAUGAUUUAUCUUAACGUAGUCAAAUCUAGCCUAAAAAAAUCUAAAGAAGGAAAAAAGAAAUUAUUUUCACGUAUUGAGAGACUUAAAUUCUUAACCUUAUUCAUAAGAAAAAAAAGUGUAUUACUUAACUAAAUCGUGACUAAAAAUUAUAAUUAUUAUUUUUUGUACAUUUAGCUUUAAAAAAUCAUUAUAUAUAUAUAUUCAUAUAAGUUUUGACAUAAUAUACAUACCACUUAUUUGUUUUUUAAAUUAUACGAGAAUGAAAAAACUCAAGCAUUAAACACCAACUUUUGUUUCAUGCUAUCAAUCAACUUGAGAAAUUUUAUAAUAUAUCGGAAGUUCUACGUCACAAUUUAAUACGAAGCCUUCGAUUAAUAAUAAUUAGACACAUGACAAUAGAUGCUAGAGAAAUUUUAAAUUCCCUCUUUUCAUUAUCCCUCCAAAUUUAGAAUUUCAAAAAAUUAGAGAAUAAAUGUUGCUUGCUCUCUUUGUUAUCUAAUUCUAAUUAUUAUUUUUUUCUCUCUCUCUCCAAUCAAGUUGCUAGCAUUUUUUAAAUCUAUUGAAGAAUAAGAAGAAGGUUUUUGUCGAUGAAAUGAUUUUGGCAGCCUUUUUUACCCAAAGCUAACAUGAUUGCUGCGACUACCAAUGAAGAAAAAGAUGUGUUUUGCUGGCGAAGAAGAUGAUUUUUGAAGCAUGAGUGGCUGCCGUUUAUUUUUUUCCUUCAUAUUUUUCGAUGUAGUGGCUGUCCUCAAGUUUUAUUCAUUUACUUUUCAGUUGGCCUACUAUUUAUUGGCAUAAUGAAAAAUUUUAUUUUAAUAAGCAUUUAUAGAUUAAUUUGAGGAGGUUUCUUUUGCAAUAUUAGUGUGGUUUCUGCAUUGGUAUGAUUUAAAUUACGAACUUGCUACAAUCUUUAAUUAAACUGUCAAAAGUAAUUUAAAAAAUCUUUAAUUAAACCGUCAAAAGUAAUUUAAAAACUGACAGUAGAUAGAUUAGAGAUAGGCUUGACAAUUUAGCCCGACUCUAUUUUUAGUCUGAUUGAUCCGAUCCUAAUUUUUAAGACUUUGGCCUGAAUUUUUUGAUUUCGGGUCGGGUUCGGGUCAAAAUUUUAAGGCCCGAACAAAUUUAGGGUCAGGGUCGGACUUAAAACCAACCCGACCCGACCCUAUUUAAAAAAAAAAAAACUAACACACGCACACAACACAUGACAGUUCACUCUCUCUAAAUCGUAAAUCACACACACAAAAUACACUUACACAAAUUCACAAAAACCCUAAGCCAGCCACCCAGCCUGCUGCCGUCCUAUCAGCCAACAUCGUGACCGUCCGCCGCACGCCAGCCAAUCAGCCGUCGUCUCGUCGUCGCAUGUCUCACCAAUCAGCCAUCGUGACCGUCUGCGACGCUGCGACAUGAACUUGAACCAGCCGCCCUUUGUCGCCGUCCUGCCGCAUCCGCCUGCCAGCCAACGAUCAAUGCACACAGUUGAAUUGUGGGGUGGGAAAUGGUUUCGAUAGGGUCGGGCUCGACCCGACCCUAACUAUAAAGAGGUAGGGCUUUUUUAGGGUCGGGUUUUAAUUUUUUGUUGAUCGGGUCGGGUCGGGUUUGGCCAAACCCGAGCCCGACCCGACGUUUUGCCAUCCCUAAUUAGAGAUGAAGAUUGGAGAGAGAGAAAAAUAUAAUUUGAAUGAGAUAAUAAAGAGAGAAGAAAUUCUAUAAUACAUCAUAAGUAAUAUAACUCAUUGAUGUAUGCAUGAUAUAUGUAAUUAACCUUAAUAUAACUAACACUUGUAUGGUGAUAUUUCAAAAUAAAUAUACAUAUGUUAUAAAAUCAUUUACUUAUUGUAUGACUGACAUUUUAUUUUUGAUGUAUUGUACAAUUUCUCAGAAGAGAGUAGUAUUUAUUAUCUCUAAUUUUUUGAAAUUCUAAAUUUUGGAAGGAUAAUAGAAAGAGAAAUUUUAAAAAUUUUUCAACGUAUAAUGCCAUGUAUCUAAUUAUUAUUAGUCGGUGUUCCACGUUAAAACGUAAUAUAGAACCUCUGGACCUUACUGUAUAAUGUACUGUAGAAUUUCCUGAUCACACACUUUCUCAGUUGCAAAAGAGGUGGGCAUAUGAGUUCCUUACGGGGAUUUAGUGUGAAUCCACGCAAAGCCCAUAUAGAUUUUUCCGGUUAACCGCUAUGGCAUCCUAGUUUUAAACUCAGUACUAAAUUUACAGAUCCAUUUAAACCCCCCAAAUCAGUCUCUCACCGUCUCAAGUCUCAAACAAAAAACCUGACCGGAACCCAAACCGCCAAAUCCGAUUCGAUGGUGGACUGUGCUAAAACCCCUAAAAUUCCAAGACUGACAUGCGGUAAAGGAGAUGGUGAUAGACUUAGCAAUCUUCCGGAGCACAUCAUUUAUCACAUAUUCUCGUUCAUGGAAACAGUUGAUGUUGUUAGAGCAAGCACUGUUUCGCGAAGAUGGAGGUACUUGUGGCUUUCCGUUCCUUAUUUGAACUUCGACUAUCACACAAUUUGGUCAGACCCGGAAAGUAGAUGGUCUCGUAGGAAAAUCAAUGAUAAGUUCAAAGAUUUUGUCAACUGGGUAAUAUUUUCUCAAAAUGGGUCUGUUAAUAUUCAAAGAUUUCGUCUUUGCUGCUGGGAUUAUUUAGCAAGUUACGAUAACGAUAGAACGAUUUACAGAUGGGUUUCUGCUAUGGCACGUCGAAACGUGCAAGUGCUUGAUCUGGCUAUAGCUUCACUAUACCCAUUUGAGUUUGACUUGCCACAUAGUCUUGUAACUUGUGAUUCAUUGGUGGAACUGAAGUUGAGUUUGAGCUUUCAUGUUCACCGAUGUUUUUUAAAGCUGCCUACUGCUGCUGGUUUUAUUGGGCUCAAGUCUCUUGAUUUACAAAGUGUUGCGUUGGAUGAUAAUUUGUUUCCUGAAUUUAUUUCAAAUCUUCCCCUGCUUGAGAAUUUGUGUAUGUUGUCAUGUGUUUUUCCUGAAUUGAAGGUUCUUGACAUUUCUUCCACUAAUUUGAAGAAUUUGGCUCUGGAAUCCAUUGUUGGCAAUGAUAAUGCUGGCAAUGAUGAUGCUGGCAAUGAUGAUGCUGGCAACUACAAGCUUAAGAUUGCUUGUCCAAAUCUUGUGUCUUUUAAUUAUAUAGCUUUAGCUCCAUGGUUACCUCACUUUGCUUUUGAGAGCUUAAACUCCUUGCAAAAUGCAUUCAUUGACCUGGAUGAUUAUAACGAGGAUGACAUGGAGAACGAAAGAUGUCAUGUUUUAUCUACAAUCUUCAAUGACUUUCGUGAAGUUAAAGUUUUGAAAUUAUCAGAAGCCAUUCUUCUCGAGGUAUGAUUUCAAAUACAUUCAUUGCACCAAAUCAUGAUUCUGCCAGAACUUGUCUACACUUUUUUAUUUUGACAUUAGAAAUGAAGCUUAAGUAAACUGAAUCUACUUUCUUUGUUUGGUAAAAUAAGAAUUCUAUUGAUUAUGGAACCUUCCUAAAUGCUAAUUUGUUCUUUAGACUGUGUAUAAGUCAUUGUGACAUUGUAUGAAGUCUCAUUUAUCUGAGUAAUCAAUUGUUAUUGAUGUCAAAGACUAGAACUCAUUGGUGACUUGAGUUUAUGUAUAUUAUCGUUUGUUAGAUUUUUUGUGUGAUUAUUGCACUUAACUUGACUAAUGUAUUCUCUUUCUUUUUGCCAUUGUUCCUCCAGGUUCUUGAUCCUGAUCCUGCUCACGAAGAACCAGCAUUUUUUUCCACUUCAUUCAAUAAUUUGAAGUCCUUAAUACUUUCUGCAGGUCCGGGUGUAUGUCUCAUGCCAUCAAUGCUUAGGUUGCUCAACUGCUCUCCAAAUCUAGAAGCUCUUGCAAUAUAUUCUCCUAAGGUAAUCUUAACACCAAAAACUAUUCCAUUUGUUAGAUACCGUCGCUUCUAUCCAUUUUUUUUAAAAAUCAUAUCUCCCAUUUAUGUGCUAAAAUUUUAAUUUUGUUAAAGUGCAACUGGGCUUUGCUUAAAUUAUCGCAAUAGAGUUGAAACCUGAAAGUAUUUGUGAUAUAUUAUGUUUACCGCUUAGAGCUUAAAGUAAAUGUUAAUCUUGUGGCCUCUUGGUUGUUCCCAUGCUAUUGCUUGUUGAGCAGAUGGUUGAAUUUAGAGUCAAUCAAUCGGUUGUGUUCUUCUGAGGUUUGUGCAAGUUUUGUAAAAGAGCAAAGUUUAGUAUUUGUUUAGUUUGUGAAAAUGAUAUAGCUUUUUCUAAUUCAUCUUACUCUAUUCUUUGCUUAAAAAUGAAUUCUCCUUUUGAUUUGAUUCCUUGACUGCAUUUCGGUCUGUUUUCUCUUGGCAGCAUCGGCGUGGAUAUAAUGCUUAUAGGAAAACACCGAACAAGGCUGCUAUUUCAUGUUUGACAAAUCAUCUCAAGACAGUUGAAAUAAAACAUUUUAGCGGUGAUAUGAAUCAACUUGAAAUUGUGAGGUUUCUUCUAAGGAAUGGACAUGUAUUGCAGAGAAUGAGUAUUAGAUGGGUGGCAGAUGUUAAGAAUCAAGGGAAGAUUAUCUCAAGGAUAAUGAAGUUUCGGAGAUCAUCUUCAAGUGUUGUGCUGAAAUUCCUAGAUCCUAAGCCAGCUGAUGAUUUUUCAGAUUAUUUAUUUGAUGAUGAGCAAAAGAACUAAAAUUAUGUUUAAAUUAAAAAAAAAAAAAGUGGUUUAAGUGUAUGUUCGAAUUAAAUAGUCUUUUGGAUUUGUAGAAACUGAAAGGAGUACAGUGCCAGUCACUGUGGCAGCCUUAUGUUUUGUUUGAAAAAAUUCGGAAGCUUCUAAAUUGUUAUAUACCUCAAUUCUGAAGUCGUUAGUAUGUAUAUUAUAAGCAAUACAUAUGUUCCAUUUGUCAUAUUUUAUUUUGGCAUUACGAUUGUUUUGUCUUGAUUAAUAUUGAUUAUAAUUUGUUUAACAUUUAUCUGGCAUAUGUAGAAUUAUACUUUAUCUGAGUAGAUGACGCUGCUGCGUACAUCUUCAGGACUCGGUCAUAAACUGUUUAUCUCUGCGUCUGUCUAGCAUCCAUCCACGUAUGACCUGUCGGCUUUUUGCCCGCAAGCAUACAGUUAGGGGUGGUAAAAAUAUCUGUCCGGUCUGGAUUCGGUUCGCACCCGGAUGUUUUAUCCGGCCCGGUCUUGGGCAUCAUUUGAUAAAUUCGGAACCCGAGUUUUAUUAAGCGCCUUGGCCGUACAGCAGUAUAUUAUUUUAAAUAUUUAUAUUUAUUUGACUCAUUUAUUACAUAUAUAUAAAGUUUUAGACACUUAAAGUUUAUAUUUUCAUGUCAAAUUUCAUUAAAAUAAAUUUAAAACUUAUAAAAUUACCAAAAAAUAAAAAAUAUAUACAUAUAUAAUAUUAAAAAAUAUAAAAUCUGGGUACCCAAAUUAAAACCCGGCACAAUCCGACCCAGGCAUCUAUGCAUCCGGGUCGGGUCCGGUCAUUACGAUACCCCGACCCAGCCCAGGGUUUUGCCAUCCCUACAUGCAGUGUAUAUGAAUUGCAGUUCUUGUACGGACAACAUGUCAUCCAUAAAACUCGAGUUAUGUUCUUUUUAAUCUUUAGUUUAGAUUACAUUUUGCAAAACUAAUAAACGAUAGAGCUCCUAGCAAGGUCAAUAGUUAACUGCGAAUCCAGAAGAUCGGAAUGCUAUACCUUUCAAACAUGCAUUUCAAAGCCAUCUGCGGAAAUGGAAAACAAGCAUUUCAAACUCGUUGUUAAAACAAUGAUAAAAGUAAUUUUAAUCCUAAUUUUUAAUUCCAGGCAUGAAGCUAACUCAUAUACAAAGAGAUAUCAAGUAAGCAGAGGCGAAAGCUAAAAGCUUUGGUUACAGGGGUCGGUGUGAAUAAUGUAUAUAUCGUUUAGACAUAUUUUUGAAUAUCUAUUUUAAUUUAGGGGAUAUUAUAUAUAUUUAAAAAAAAUUAAAAUUUUUACGGGAGCCAUGGCUUACUAUAGUCUCCAUUAAGAUUCACCCUCCCUACUUUUCGUACUUCAUUAAAGUAUAGGAUAAAUAUUUACAAUAUUAUAAAUAGAUUUUAUAAAAGCAGUCCAUAUAUGAAAGUCCUUCUGCACUCUGAAUUAAAUAAAAAUAACGUGAGACUAACAAUUUAAGAGUCUUUUUUGCAACGUAUAUCGUGCAGUGAUGUACUCUAUCGACGGAGGACUCUCUUCAUAUGCUUUUUAUUUUUCCAUGCCUGAUUAUAAAUAGGAUCACUCUAUGUUACAUUAAACGUAACGUACACACACUCACAACAACAGUAACAAGUCCCAUCAUUAGAACUGUUGCUGUGAGUGCGUGUAUGUUACGUUUAACGUAACAUAUCACUAGCCUUAUAAAUAACAUCACUUUUAAGGAUUUUUACAAAUUUUUAUUACAACCGUAACUUUUGUCCUCAUACAAUAACGGUGUCCAUUGUCCACAUAUAAAAAGUUCAUCAAUAAACAUAUAACCUAAUUAAAAUUCGUGACAAAAUCCAAAGGAAAGAAAGCGUGGAGUAAUAUAUAUAACAAAGGCAUUGAGCAUACACCAGGUGUAAUUUGCAUUGCAUGGCCACCCUUACGUGGCAGUUCCGCCGAUUAACACAUCUUUAAAAGUUAAAGCCCCCCUCUCUCCUUGUUAAGGGCGUUUCAACACAACACUCAUCAAUGCAAGCAAAGAGACAGUGAAGGAAAAAUUAAGAAACCAAUAUUGUCACUUGGAAGAAAGAAACAAUCAUUACAUAUAUAAUACGAUGGAUACUAAGAACAACAGGAAGCAUUUGUCCUGCAUUGCCAACGACGUCGUUCACAGAUGUGCACUGUACGUAUCUCUCUCUCUCUCUCUCUCUCCUUUUCUUUUUCUCCCCGAUCACUUUGUUUUCUUUAUAUAUACGAAUGUAUGUAGAACGUAGUAGGUUUUGUAUAAAUAUCUGUUGCACACAUUAUUUGAUGUGCAUUUAAAUAUAAUUAAUGGUAAUUGAGAUGACACACAAAGACAAUGCAAAAAAAGAAAAAAAAAGAGAGAGUAAAUUAAUGAAUUUGCCUUGAUCCAGUUAAUUUGUGUGCAUUUAGCUGACUGUAAGGUGGUUUCGAGUGUGUUUUUGUUUGGCAACUUUUCACACAAAAGCACUUUUGGGAAGCACUUUAUGUAAUGUAAGUGCCUCUAAAAACUGUUUUAUGUAUUACUGCCAAAUGCAGUGCAGAGGUUACAAUGGGAGGGUCGGUUUUAUACCUGUUCUUCGAGACUUAAUUUCAAUAGGAGAUUGAAAUAUUUAUGAGAAUUAUGUUGUUAGCAGACUUAAUUCUUUUGGAGGAAUUCAUUCCAUCGUAGACCACUCAAUGAAUUUGGUCGAUUGAGAUUAUUUGAGUGCAUGCUUCAAAACUGGAGCAUUAAUUCUUUGACAUAAAUGGGCUUUAACAUAAGGCGCGUUCGCUUAUUCCAUUUAUUCAAGAAGUUGGCACUCAAUUUUUUAUUACUAGCCUUUAGAUGGCCAGCAGCCUUUUGUAGCCCUUUCUAGUUUCUACUAAAGUGGUUAUGUGCAAUAGUUCUAUUCUGGGUUGCAAAAUUAUUGUGUCAGUAGAAUCCACAUACAUUAUGUACUUUUCUGUAUUUAAUUUCAAGAGGCUUAGUUAUAUCAUAGUUUUAGGAUUAUAAUAAGUCUGUCCGUUACCAUGUUAUUGGAAUUUUUUUUUUUUUCUAAAUUAGUUGGACACAUUAUUGGAUUGGUCAAUAAAGGAAAGCAUUUGGCAAGUACUUGGUUUGAUAUUAACAUAUAGUUGCAGUAAAGCACAUUAACUUGUGCAUCCUGAAAUUCUUGCAGGCAAGUAAAGGCUUCUGAGGAUUCAUUGGUGGAGGGGUUUGAAGCUGAAUGGAAGCCUGAAAUCGGACAGUAUUCGAAGAAAUUUGUGGAAUAUUGCAGCAUAAAGGCUCUUACUAACAUGUGCCAGAGCAUAGAAGAAAAGAUUAGUGAUGGAUCAUUUAGUCGACUCACAUUUGAUAUGAUGCUUGCCUGGGAAAUGCCUAGUGCCGCCGAUGAGGAGUCUCAUACUGUAAGCAAUCAUCAUAAUACUCAUAUCCUAUAUUUAUUUCAUGGUCCACCAAAUCAUUAUGAUAUUAUCCCAAUUUUGGUGUGCCUAUCUUCUCUUCAAGUUGCUUCUUCUAUUUCUUUUUCAUUAUACAUUCUCUGGUUCUCAUCAGUUUUCGCUCCAAUUAAAAGAAGCAUGAAUUCUUUCACUUAUCUGCUGAAUCUGUUCUAAUGAUUGGGCAAUAGAUUUUUAUUCCUCUCUGUGGUUACUACUAUUUUGAUCUUGUGCAGGAGUGCAUGGGAAAGGAGAAUGAGGAUAGAAAGGCUGUAAAAGUCACUUCAGAUCAUGAUGAAAUUCCUCUCUUCUAUACAGACAUCAUGCCUCUUCUAGUAAGAGCGUCUCUUUCUGAUCAUUUGAGUGCUAAUGUACCGACCAAGCAUUAGCCUUCACUGAAACUCGUAUAUGAUUUCAUGAACAUUGAUUAAUUGUUAUUUUUGCUAACUACUCUAUGAGAUCUGAUCAAAUUAGAUAUAUAAAUGUUGCGAUUGAUCUUGGAUUUGCUUUAUAUUUGGCCAUCAAUUAUAUUUUACUCUUCAUUUUUAUAUUUGUUUGGUUUGAUAAUUUACCCUCUGGCCCAUAUAUAUGAUGGUAGGUUAAUAAUGAACCGAGUGUUGGAGAAGAUGCAUUUGUAUGGAUGGGAUCCUUAGUUCCUCUAGUUUCAGAUGUUAUUAAUGGGAGAUUUACAUAUGAAAUUCUGACAGCGCCAACAGGAAACCGGCUCCAUUCUCCAGCAUAUGAUAUAUUUCUAAAGGAGAUGGACAAGUAAUUCUUCCAAUUCUUCCAUGCAGCAAUUUUACCACUCAGAAACUUUAAGUGCCGUUUGGUUUUGUGACAUGCAAAUUAUCAUGGAACACUCAAAAUGAGUUGUUCUUAACAAUUUCUAGAAUUUGCAAACUCACUAACCAUAUCUGAAAAUGCAGAAGCAUUAUUACCACUUAUUGAUAACAAUAUCUCUGCUCGACUUGUUUGGGUGCUUUCAGCCGUUUUUCAUUUUCUUUUGGAAAUCUUGAUUUCAUAGAUGCAUAAAACAUUUGCAAAAACAAGCAACUCCAAAGGGUGUUGAGCUGGCUGACGAUGAAUUUAUACUGCAUGUGGAGGGAACUGCAAGCACACAGAGAGUAGUGCGCCAUAUUGGGAAAACAAGUUGGCCUGGUAUGUCUUUAGUUUGAUGUCUUACAUCUUUUUAACUGCUGUAGAAAUUGUUACUUGGAUUUUACUAAUCAUAAUUGUUGUCUCUAGGUAGGCUCACACUGACAAAUUAUGCGCUCUACUUCGAGGCUUCGGGAGUAAUAACAUAUGAAGAUGCUCUAAAGAUUGACCUCUCAAAAGAUGCUGAACUAUCUGUUAAACCAACUGCCACAGGUCCAUGGGGUGCUCCGCUUUUUGACAAGGCAAUUGUAGUCGAGUCCCCUGAACAGUAAGCAUAGUUGCACUUAUAUGAAAUUACUGGAGCUAUUAGCAUCGUUAUUCUUAUUUUAAAAAUUGUUAAAUGCUUGGUAGUUAUCCCAUAAGCUAGAUUUUAAAUGCAUAACAUACAAGGCAGACAUCAGAAAGCAUUCUGAUUCGUUUAUUAAAGUUUGUCUUUUAUUAAGCUAAAGAUAUUAAUGCUGCUAGAUUUUUCUAAUUUGGUUGUAGAUAUUGGUUAGUUACACUGUCAAAUGAGCAAAUCUCGUGGAUAUUUCAUAGUGUGGUUAUGCAAUUGUUUUUUGCCCUUCACUUUUCUAGAUCUGAGGGAAUUGUCCUGGAGUUUCCAGAGAUAACUAGCUCGACAAGGCGUGAUCAUUGGCUGGCCCUCACAAAGGAGAUAAUGUUAAUGCACAAAUUCCUGUCAAAAUUCAAGGUGGAAUGUCCAAUACAAGCAUGGGAGAUGAAUGCAAGGACAAUACUUUGCAUCAUAAGACUCCAUGCAGCAAGAGAAAUGCUGAGGAUAUUGCCUCCAGAUCCCACAAAAUUCUUGAUUUUUGCUUUGUAUGAUGAGUUGCCAAAGGGAGACUACGUGCUAGAAGAGCUUGCUGAGAGUCUGAAGAAAGUUAAUUGUGGACAUCCUUCCAGUGCUAGCUCAAUUCUGAGAUGUAUGAACCUGUCAAUUGCCGCAAGUGGAGAAGUAAAAGAAGGAAAAGAACUGGAGGAACAUAAACAUAUAAGUGAUGAAAGCUGUUCAUCACUGGAAACUGCCAUCAAUCAAUCUAAAGAGCAAGCAAAGGCAAUUGAAAUUGCUAAGUCUACCACUGAGGGCCUGAAAGAUGAAGGGAUCAGUGAUAGUAUCCUUGUUCUCUUGGUAUGUUUUUACUUCCAAAUUGUUGUUUAUGCUGCUGAUUUUAUAUUGACAGAAUAAGUAAUGACAUCUCAACAAAUCAUGGUAUUGAGAGCUUGUUUGACAUUUAUCAAACACAGCAAAGAAAUUGAAUUUUAUGAAAUUCCUAUAGCACCCUAUAAUUUGUACCAAAAAAUCUCUGCACCUUUGGCAUGCUGUAUGGUAUGGAAGUAUAGCUGUCUCAGAGAGGUUACUGUUAUUUACUUUAUUUGGUUUUGUAGUAUUGAUGUUAAGUUUGAUUUAAUAAUGUAGGAGCUACUAAAGCCACUUAAAAGUGUUUUACCCUGGAUUCGAGAAGUUGUUUCAUGGGAAAAACCAGCAACCACCCUCACUGUGAUUGCAACAACUCUACUAAUAGUGUACAAGUAAGUCAGUGCUCCCUCGUAAUUUUCUUAUAUACGGAAAUUUUUUUGAAAGUGCAUGUUGAUCAAGAACCACUUCAUUACUUGGCCUAUUAAUGUGUAAACUUUGCAAAUGACUAGUAAACUAUAUAAUGGCAAUGUAGGGAGUGGGUAGGCCAGGCUAUAGCUGCUUGUUUGCUCACCAUCGUGGUGAAGAUGCUUCAGGCAAGAAAAAAAAGGUUGACAGACAAAUGCAAUGAGAUAGUAGUAUGCACUGCUUCAGAUCAGAGCACCGUGGAGAGCAUUGUGUCGGCUCAAUACAGUUUGAUAACUAUUCAUGAGAUGUUGCAGGCAGCAAACAUUAUGAUUUUGAAGAUAUGGUCGAUAUUAAUUUCAAAGGCCCGCAAGGUACUCAUUUUGAUAACCUAUGCUUUCAGCUUAGCAAUUAAAUAUCGUUUUCAAUCAAUAUUGCUUAUUCGUCGUUAGCUGAAGUUCGUUUACCUACUACAUUUGUUGGAUGUCUUCAAUUAUUGAGGAGUCUUAGUUGCAUUUCCAAAUUGUUCUAAAUCCUCGUUUCAUUUAAUGGGUUGCAGCAUGCGGACACGGUUAUGGUGGCAUUGACUGGGUUAGCAAUAGUAUUAGCAGUUGUUCCAUUCAAGUAUAUUGUCAUGGGAGGUGUGCUGUACGGCUUCAUUAUGAACUCGAAGCCAAUGAAGUACCUGGGAAACAACUCAAACGACCAAAGCGGCAACAGACGUCUAAAAGAAUGGUGGGAGUCAAUCCCUAUUAUUCCUGUUCGCGUCGUGGACAAGCUUCCUGAGUGCCCAAAAUAAUGUGUCGGCUCCUGCACAAUCACAGUUGCCUAAAUCCUCUGUUUCUGAACUUUUGUUAUCAACUUACUGCACGAUAUACACUUCUGAGUUUGCUUUUGCCAUCAGAGUAGAACUGUAUCUGAAACACAGCAUACACUUAAAUGCUCAUUACAAAUUUGGAGAAAAGCACAAGUAGAAAAGGAUUGAAGACAUUCAGUAACGUUGAAAUUCUGCAUUUUCUUUAAUUUUUGUUAUGAACAAGUUUCUUAAUUAUUUGUUCUCUUGAUGUAAAAUAGCAUAUUGCUGGGAGUAAUGAAGAUGUGACUGUGCUUUUCCUAUUAGCAUGUUAAUAAAAGCAAAAUGGAAAAUUAUUAGUUACGUCCUCUCGUUUUGCGGCUUAUUGAGCUAACAAGUAACUUCUUCAUUACUAGCGUGCAAGUUUGCAACUAGUGAAUCUCAAAUAUAACUCUACCCAAUGGAUGGAUGUACGAUGGAUGUACCUACCCAAUCAUUUAUUUCUCAUUAAAUCUGUUAAAACAGAAAAAGUCCCGACGUCAUAUUCUUCGCGCCUUUUAAAAAACGACACGUGUCGUAUCCCACUACUCGCGUGCUGGAAACUUUAACCCACUCUGACUGCGUGACAGCAGAUCAUUCCCAAUUCAUUUCAGUUUCACUGUCACUUUCACUCCUCCUCAGGCGCCUUCCGACAAACAGGAAGAAUGCAAACUUGAAAACCCCCAAAAACCCUAACGUUCCCCCGGAGACCCUAACCCACCAUAAACCCUGGCUCUUAAUCCUAGCCACUAUGAGCGACCAAGACGAGCAAUCGCGAGCUCAGAAAGCCGCCCAGUUAACAAGUCCGCUCUCAUCCUCUCUCUCGAACCUUUCUUCUUCUUCAAGAAGCAUCCCCUCUAAUCAAGAUUUCCAUUUCUUCUACAAUUUCCCUGAAUUCAAUCAACCCGUCCAAGAAAUCGCGAACCAAUCGCAGCUCCUCCUACAAUCCAUCGGCUCAUCGGAGAUUUUUAACCAACCGAUCAAUUUUCCUGAUGAGGUUGACAUCUCGGACGCCUACGACUGGCUUGUCGACGUAAACGACAACGUUUUCGAGCGUAUGGAUGUUUCUUUCGACGAAUUUAGUAAAGUAAGAGGGGAAAAUGGGGAAGGAGAUGGAAAUGAAGGUGGCUUUCAGUUGGUUUAUGGGAAGAACAAGAAGAAGGGCGACAUUGUGGGUGGCUCUGCCCCGGCCAGUGUGAAAGUGAAGGACAGGAAAGAGAAAAGCAAGGUGCCGUUUCAUAUAUCGACUAUAACAAAACCGCAAGAGGAGUACAAGAUAGUUGUGAACAAUGCGAACCAGCCGUUUCAGCAUGUUUGGUUGCAGAAGAUUGAGGACAGUGGACGGUUUAUCCAUCCUCUUGUAAGUUUGUUAUUUUUUGAAUAUUUUGAUAUUGGAUUUGACUUACUGGGUUUGUUAAAUUUGUAAUCUGAAAAUAGUACCUUUCUUAGGGACUUUUUAGUGAUCAAUUAUUUCUUUCAUUUUCUUUUUGGGUGGUUUGUGGUAUAUGUUUACGCUUAUCUUGUUUGGAAUUUGUGUGCAAUUCUUAUUAUUCAUGCGAGAAUUUUAACACUAUCAUGUGGUUCAUGCUUGCCAAAAAUAUACCAAAACACUUUUGCUUAUUGCUAUUGCUUUAUUUGUACAGGACAAUCUUUCUGUUUUGGAUUUUGUUGAUAAAGAUAUAGGGGAUGUGGAACCUGUAAAACCUCCCUCGUUGGAGCAGACACCAUUCAAGCUUGUGGAAGAAGUUAAAGAUUUAAAGGAGCUAGCUGCUAAAUUGAAGAGCGUAGAUGAGUUUGCGGUAAAGUCUGACUUCUGUGAUUAUGUUUUAUUGAUAAAUAAUGCCGUGGUUCAGCCUUACUGCAGUAGUUUCUUUUUUUCAGCCUUUUGAUUUCUCUUUUCUGAUGGGGCAUUUCAUAUACAGAACUGAACACUGUCCUAUGUAGAGGAUAUAGUGUAGUUAAGGCACAUGUCACCGAUGUCAGCUACUUCAAAAUUAUAUAGUGCUGGAUGUGGUUUAAGCCAAUAAGACAAGAAAGGGGUGUGGCCGCCUAUGAAGAUACAUACAAAUAUGUUAAUAUUCGAAACAUAUACAAAGAAAUGUGCCUGUAAUAGUUUUCCUGUCUACGUAAAGUAGUAAACCAGCUGUCUAUUUAAUCUUGAUACAAGUUUUGCAUGUUUAAAAAAUUAUCUUUCAUCUUUAACAGUGAGUCCAUUUUUAGCUGUAAUCCUUUUCUCAAGCAUGACUUGGUUUUGCUUUCGUUUUCAUCUCAACAGUAAACCUGUUUGCAACUAGAAAACAUUGUAAUUUUUUUGUAACUUUUCUCUAGGUCGACUUGGAACAUAAUCAAUAUCGAUCUUUCCUAGGAUUGACUUGCCUGAUGCAAAUUUCCACCAGAACCGAAGAUUUUGUGGUAGAUACGUUAAAGCUUCGCGUUCAAGUUGGGCCAUAUCUUAGGGAAGUUUUUAAAGAUCCUACCAAGAAAAAGGUUGGUCCCUUCAACAUGCUCUCGCGUAGCUUUGUGAUAAAUCUUAUUUUUUCCCCCCCAAAUUAUGUUAACUUUUACUUUACUAGGUGAUGCAUGGAGCAGAUCGAGAUAUUGUGUGGCUUCAACGGGACUUUGGCAUAUAUUUGUGCAAUAUGUUUGACACAGGACAGGUUUUAUCCCUUGAAACUCUCUUUGAAAUUUGAGACUUUAUUGAUGAUCUUGUCUGGUUUUUUGUACAAUGGUUAAAUUUAUCUUAUCUUAUCUGCUUUUUUGUGGUCUAAUUUAUGAGUGUUGAUGCAAGCCUUUAUUCUACUAAAUUAGUUAAAUUGAGUUAUCUUUUGAUACUGUAUUUUCAAUUUUGUAAUUCAUCUUAUGUGUUUGAGUCAAGGUUUGGCUUCAAAAAGCCUUGUCAGUUACAUGUCAUCUCUCCCUUAAUUUUUUCAAAGUAGCUUCGCUUGUCAUUUGAACUAUUUGUAUCAUUAUUUUCAAUUUUGAUGUGGAACUUCCCCCAUUUAUUAAUGUUCUUUUGGUUGUUUUUGUGUAAUGCUCUUUUGUAAAUUUUACCGUGGCAUUUAUUUUGUUUUGCAUUUCAAAUAAUAGUGAGAAUUGCUUUUUUCAGUCCUAAGUUUAUUGGUUUAUUGUAAAUAUACUGUAUAUUUAUUUUGGUUUGCAUUGGGAGAUGAUCGUGGGAAUUUGUUUCUGUCUUUUCAUAAGGCCUCAAGAGUCUUGAAAUUGGAGAGAAAUAGUUUGGAGUAUCUUCUACAUCACUUUUGUGGAGUUAAUGCCAACAAAGAGUGAGUCCUUUUGUAAAGUACCUGAUCUGUUUCUCCUUAUAGUUUCCGCCCUUCAUCAUCCUAAGUCAACUCAUUGCAGAUACCAGAACGCAGAUUGGAGAGUACGUCCUCUUCCCGACGAGAUGCUGAGGUACCUUUGGUUCUCUUUUUAUCUUCUUUGUAACCUACUUUUCUAAUGAGUUCUCCAAAAAAAAAAAAAUUAUGAUCUGUUUGGCAUGAAAAUAAUUACUACUAUUUUAAAGUUCUUGUAUUCUUUGGAAAAGCAGAAAUCAUAUAUCAUCAUUUAAGUGUUUGGGGUUUCAUCUUUGCCUGUAUUUUUGUAGAAACUAAUAAUAUUUUUUUUUCUGUGGCUUAGGAUUUGAAUUGUGGGAAUAUCUAUGUUGGAAAUUAAUAAUGAGUGCACAUUGACUCUUGAUAGUGGACAAAUAUUUGGACAGCCAGGAAGGGGAAGGCCAACAAAAGUUUUGGGUUUUUAUAAGUUGAAGUUAUGAAUGGUUUUAUAAUUAAUUAGGUAUAGGUUUCCUCAUUUGGGUAUUUCUGGGAGAUCUGGGUUAUAAGAUUGAGAUAUUCCAGCCUGUAUAGAUAAUUGUAGGGUUGCCUGUGUUUGUGAUAUUCCAGCGCGUUUAUUAUUACUACUUCUUAUAUAUAUAAAAUUUUAGACUCUUUCCAUGUCUAACAAGAAGUUUUCAUGAUAUCACUUGGAUCCUACUCAUGCAGACUUGUAAGGCAUCCUUAGGUGCGGUUAUGUGAUCUGGUUUUUAUAAAUAUUUUUAAAUUUUUUGUCAGAGACAAUGCCUGUAGUGACAAUGUACUGACUUAUCUUUUGGUUAUUACCAAGCUGAAUCAGGUUGCCUGUGGUUUAUGACCAUACCAUUUGGUCUUAUAAAAUGUUCUUCCCUUCACCUCAUGUUCUCAUACUUUAAAGCAUGAAUAAUAUCUAAGGGCCUGAGAUUAUUUCAUUAAUUUUUCCCAAGUCUAGAUCCUUCCCAGAGAAAUGGAUGGAUUACCCACACACUCACCAGUAACAUGUCGUACUUUAUGACGGUUUUGCAUUACUGCUGUAUGUCAUUUAAUUUGCCCUUUUGAGGAUUCUUUAUUUUCUCUGGGCUGAUGUUACUUUGUGGUGCUUUUUUUUCCUAUUUAGUCAAAAUAUAUAUUCAUCAUAGAGUUUCUCUGUUAGAAUUUUCUUAGCUUUGAGGAUUCGUUAGUGGCAUAUCAUCCAAUUGAUUAUACUUGUGAUGACAGAUACGCUAGAGAAGAUACACACUAUCUGUUGUAUAUAUAUGAUAUAAUGAAAAUCAAGUUGUCCUCAAUGCCCAAGGAGUCUGAGAAUUCUGAUACUCCCCUGACAGAGGUAUGAUUUUUGCUUAACUGUUGGUGUUGUUUUGUAAAACUGUUGGGCAUCUCUAUGAUUAUAGAGAAUCCAUUUUUAAAUGCUUUUUUCAGAUCUUGUUGUGCCAUGUAUGACAGACCAUUGCGUCUGGAGAUUGGCAUGGAGCUUAAUAAUUACAAUGUUAAAAAUAGAACAUAAAAUAUUGGGAAGUAUCUAUCAUGACUAAUUCUUCAACUGUUUAAGGAAGAUAGUUUAAAUCCGAAUAUCCUUUUUUGGAUUGUGGACUAAAGAAAAUUGUCAACUCUUGAUUUCUCUUCCCAAGGAUGAAGACGUAUCAGUCUGUUGGCAAACACAUUUUUUGAAUUUUACUUUAGUUAUCUAUAAUUUUACCAUAUUGAGCAAACAUUUUGUUGCAAACAGGUCUACAAGCGCAGUUAUGACGUAUGCAGGCAGCUGUAUGAGAAGGAGCUUCUGUCAGAAAAUUCUUAUCUCCACAUUUAUGGGUUUGUCUUUGUCCCUAUUCAUCUCAGUUUAAGUUUUCAUUUAGUGGCCUCGCCUGUUUAAAAUCUUCUCUCAUACAGUUUUUGUUUGUUUCAUUCUUUACUUAGCAUUACUUCUCUUGUUUAAUUUUAGUUCUAUUUUGGACUUCGUAUUUAUGUGAUUUGACAGAACUUAAUCAGUGGAGCUUAUUUCUCUAUGUUGAAAUAGGUUGCAGGGGGCUGGUCUCAAUGCUCAGCAGCUUGCUGUUGUUGCGGUAUGUCAGUUCUUCAUGUGUUUUUCAAACUUUGCCACUUUUCUAUCUGGAUAUUAUAUGCAUGAGGAUGCUACUGAAAAUGUAUUAUCCGCAUGUUUUGUUUACUAGUUGCAUCUUCAAAUGAAACAAAGUCUUGACCCAGAAGAAUCCGUAACGCACCAAUAGUCACUAAUAGGAUUGUCUUGAGAAAUUUACUUCUAAAUUUUUGAGUGGAUGAUAGAAGGGUGGAUUUUAAGUAGCUGACACAUCAUUGCCAACUGCUGAUAGAGUCUGUUGCAUACUUGAGUAUUCUUGCUAGUUCUGGCCCCAUUGAUCCCACUUCAAUGAUUUGCAGGGUCUUUGUGAAUGGCGAGAUGUUAUUGCUCGUGCAGAUGAUGAAAGUACUGGCUAUGUAUUGCCAAACAGAACUCUGAUUGAAAUUGGUAGAAACCUGUCUGAAUUUCCUCCAACUCUCUCUUCUAUAUGUAUAUAAUCCAUUUGGUGAGUUAUGAGUUAAUCAUAUUUUCCUUUUGUGGUAAAAGCCAAACAGUUGCCUACUACUGCUGCCAAGUUACGUCGAUUGUUGAAAUCAAAGCACUCAUAUAUUGAACGCUAUAUGGGUCCGGUACUUAGCAUCAUAAAAAAUUCUAUGCAAAAUGCUGCUAAUUUUGAAGUCAUUGCUCAAAAAUUGAAAGAGGAACGUAUGGAAGUGGUAAGACCUGCAUGCUCAUGUUUGAUUGUUUUGUUAUAUCAGUGAUCCAAAUUGAUUAUUUUUCUUUGAGAAUUUGAUGUUAAUGCCUUCAAUGGAUUGCCAACAUACAUUGAUUUUCUUUUUCUUUUCCUUGGAUUUCGUUAGAAUCAGACCAACCAUCUUUUAAACGAGGAUGAUGGUCCAAAACCUUAAGGUCUACUACGAUGAAUUGCUACUUUUUGUGCAAGUUCUUGUAAUUCACUCAGCUGGUUGUCUUCGGCAAAUGAAAGGAAAAAGGAAAUUCAUCCAAUCCAGUUCUAUUGAAGAAAAAGAAUCCUAGUUGAUCUUACAAAAUUAAGCUUUCAUAAUUUGUUAACCCAUGGAAUGUGAUUAAAACUCAUGGACAAAGGAUGUUCCAGUUGAGAAAGGGAUUUGAGUGAUUUUUAGCAAUUAUCAGUGAUGUCUUCAUUAGAAGUAAGUUUAUGGUUUAUAGCAGUAAAUGCUCAAUAAUUAGGUACUCCUUGUAUAUUGGCUGACCGGGUCCCAUGUUUGUAGUAGGUUUUGUGAGCUACAGAGGAUUAACUUCAGUCAGUUUUCCAUGUUAUGGCUGUUAAGAGCUAUGUCACCAUUUUUCUUUGUUUACAUCAAACUAAUCUUUUUUUUUCCCCCCAUUUUUCCUUAUUUGUGUAGGCAUCAGAAGAAACUGAAGUUUUAGUUCUUGAUACUUCCUCAAACUUGAAAAUUCCGAAUGUUGGAAGGGAGAGUGUUGAUGGUGUUGAUGCAUUAGUUGGUACCACGAUGCCUCACCCACCAGCUUACACCCAGCUGAAACAAGAGCCUCCAAAGGUUGGAAGCAGUGUCGCAGAACUUGACAGAAAUGGACUAGGGUCUUUUGCGCAUCCUGGAGAAGCAAUUGCUUCAGAAAAUAAAGAAGCUACUCAUAUUUCAACACUUUCCAGCUCUGGUCAAAGUAGAGACUUGAAUGCUUGCAAGUCACCUUCACCAAGGGUUGUGAAUUUGAUGCCUUAAUGUGGAUUUUUUUUUUUUUUGGUUAAGAGGUUUAGCAUUCAAUUUCUUUUUCUUUGGUUGUGAAUUUGAUGCCUUAAUGUGGAUUGGAUUUUUUUUUUUUUUGGUUAAGAGGUUUAGCAUUCAAUUUCUUUUUCUUUAUAGGUUACUGAAGCUGCUGUUCAGGCUCUAAAGAAGCCGAACCGUGGUUUUGGAGCACUGCUGGGUAACCCAAAGAGAAAGUUUGAUGGCGAGAAAAAGGUGAGUUAAUCAUUUGCUAGUAAUGGUUGUUAAACAUCUGCUAUGUCAUUGUCACAUAGCAAAAUAACUAUUUCUGAGGCCUGCCAGUCACCCAGUUUGUGCAUGUGUGGUUGGGAAGAAGGCAACAAAGGAAGAAUAUAGUUAAACAUUUGCUAUGUUAUUCUUACAUAGCAAAAUAACUACUACUGAGGCCUGCCAGUCAGCCAGUCUCUGCAUGUUGGUUGCAAAGAAGGCAACAAAAGAAGAAUGUUUUUUUUUUUUGAAUCUUCAUUCCAUGAUUCACUUUCUUUUCAAUUUUUCUUGUCAACUAGCAUGUACAUUUGCCUUCUUGUUGCCUUUUUCGUUGCGUGAGUCAUUAUGAAUUAUGAUUUAUAUUAUACGGAAAUUGUGAGUGGGCAACUGUUGGGCUAUAAUCAAACAUGCAAAAUUUCGGGUCCCAUGACUAAGCGCUGCUAUCAUCUGGAUUUGUGUGUUGUUGCAUUUUAUAUUUGGUUAACACCCUUCUUAUUAUCCUCCUUUUGAUUGUUUGUUUGUCUUAAUUAGGACAAGGAAGCUAUGAAACUAGAGCAGAUUAAAUCCUCAGUCAAUCUUCCAUUCCACUCAAUUUUUGCAAGAGAUGAACAGUUAAAACCAGUUGAUGUGAUGAAGUCUGAACCAAAUAAGCCUGACAUUCCAUUUCCUUCAUCUUUUGGUAGUGGGCAACAAACGAAACCAAUCAUAGAGGAAUCCAAUAGAGUUACAGUAGUUUCCCAAUCAGAAGAACCCGCUCCGGCUGCUAGGUCUGAUACAGAAGAUAUUAUUACGUUGGAAGAUGAUAUAGAUGAAGAGGAACAAAACCUUGGUAAUUUGGAAACUGCAAGUGCGCCCGGAGAGGACGGUUCUGCAGGGUCUGCUUUGGAAAUGGGUAAACAAGAUGAGACCAUGUCUCUCUCUGAUUUAUCAACUAGUUUCCAGGAGUGCUUCCACUCUGCUAACAACAAUAGAAAACCUGGAAAGCCUGAGAGAUCUGAAGAACCUAGUGGUUUUUUGCAGCUUAAGCCGUUUGACUUCGAAGCAGCUAGGAAACAGAUCGAGUUUGGAGAAGAUGCCAAAGAAAAAUCAGCUGGGGUUGAUGGAAACAAAAGAAAACCAGUGAACUCUGGAGAUAAGAAAAAAGUUUCAGCUGUAGAUCAAGCUCAAAAAGAUGAUGGAACAAAAGAACUGUCACAAGGUAGACGACGUUCUGCUUUUCCUGCAACUGGAAAUCGAAGUGCAACAUUUCGCUGAGUCUCUGGUAUCAAUCAUGCUGCUCUGUGUAGCAGAAAUUAGUUGAAUUUUGGAUUUUCACAAUCAUGUUCUUGAUUUAAAUGGAAAUUAAUGCUGGUGGACAAAUUCGCAAUGGUUGUACGUAUAUUUCCAUUGCUUGAGGUCUUGUCUGAUACAGCAUGAGCUAACCUGAUCAUCUUUUGAUAUUCAGUAACAGGAGAGAUGUAUGGUCUGCAGGAGCCAAUGAUGGGCAAGUGAUACCUGAGGCCGGUGUCUAUUUGAAGGUAAAAUGGGCGAUGGUUCUAGGUUUCAUAUUAGGUUUUUGAUAGUCUUGAGUAAUUGCCCUACUAUCUUCAUAUUUAAAAAACAGGAUGGUUUCAAACCAAAGUGCGGUUUGUAAUCAAAAGCAUUUGAUCUUUUUGUUUUUGUAACUUUACGGGUUUUAUUUUUAGAAAAAUGGUUCUGUACUAUGGUUUAUUUCUGCCUUAUUUGAUAUUGUGGUCAUCUUAGGCUUUAUUUAGUGUAAUUUUUCAGUUAUAUGUUCGUUUGGGAAGAGGAAAUGAAGUUAAUUUUAUUUCACACUUGCAUAAGAAAAAAUUGUAAUGUUUAUAUUAUUUUUGUUAAAAUUAUUAUUUAAAAAUUAUAUUUGAUAUCUAUUAAUAAUUUUUAUUAUAAUUAUAAUUUUCUUUUUCCUCCAUCAUCUCAAUUGCUUAUAACUGCUGUUGAGGAUGGUUGGUGCGAUGUUAAUAAUUUGUAAAGGGCUUAGUAACAUCUGGUUCCGUGAUGUCGGCCAAACCAUAUCGAAGGGCUUAAUUUGACGGUCAUCGGGGCCUCCUGCCCAGCUGCCCUCCUUUACGGAUUCCGCUUCCGCAAAUUAUUUUAUAUAAACUGUUGUUACAUGAUAGUGGUGGCCGGAUGAAAAUACUACAUGACCAUAUAAUGCUUUCGGUGCAAUGAGUGAAAAAGAGAAAUUUUUAUGUAUUCUCGGAUUGAAGGAGAAAUUUUAAGAUUAAGAUUGUGGAGUGGUAGCAGGAGUAAAUUAUUUACUUACAUCACUAUGAGAGUGUGGAACG
rnacentral:lncRNA from 1 species